rnacentral:lncRNA from 1 species
UCCUCAAGAUAGCAACAUAGCUGCUAAUGGAAAACAUAAGAAUUAUAUAACCAUAAUAUAAUGCCAAUGCACAUUAAAUGACAAGCCUUCGUCCAAAUAAUUGAAGCCUUUUUUUGUUACUAUCCAUACAAAUCAAAUGGACGUCUUCAAUCAAAAGACGACUUACUCUAAAUUGUUCCUCAAAUUACUUUCUAAAUUAUUCAUCUAUUCACUCUCUCUUCUAUUAAACAAGAUGAAGUAUAGGGAGAAGAAAACAAGAAUAUGGCGCUUUUUUUUUUUGAGGGAAAAGAUGGUAAUCUCAUCAAAUUCAUUAAAAGAACAAACCAAAACCGAGUACAAAGUGAUGUAAGAUCACUUAGGUAGAGGAAAAAAAGAGUUAGAAAGUAAGUGAACUGGGACAAUGAAGGAAAAAGAUGAAAGGCUAGCACACCAUGCCUUGCAGUUUCUGAAUUGCUUUGUCUCUAGCUCCCGGUUUCGACACAGACAUCCAGUCUGAAGCAUGAGAUCAUGAUGCCUUCCUAACAUCCUCUACCAGCCUCCUUUUGGCUGUGAAAACUCUGAAAUUCCAUUACAUCCAGAUACUUCACUAUAGCAUAGCCAAGGGUGUCCAAAUGCAGUCUCCUUGUCUCAUAUUCUGCACUCGCCAAUCCGACACCAUGUCUUCAAAUUUCUGAAUUACUUGUCUCUAGCUGCCGGUUUCGACACAGACAUCCAGGCUGAAGCAUGUGAUUGUGACACCUUCCUAACAUCCUCUACCAGCCUCCUCUUAAAUGCAACAACUCUGAAAUUUCAUUCCAGCCAGAUGCUUCAUCAGCGUAGCCAACAGUGUCCAAAUGCAGUCUCCUCGUCAAAUAUUCUGCACUCGCCAAUCCAACCAAGGAGUAGAUAGACUGAGAACUCUGCUCCUUACUUACAGUUUUGGUGUAUCCCUUAGCCAGAUUUUGGCAUGACCCUCGGUUUCAUAUACCUCCCAAAUACUGCAUUCUUAGCACUCAAAUUUGGGCUCAAACUUCAUUCCAGCCCUAAUAAUCCAACAUAGUGCUAAACAAUUUACUCUUUUUUAAUUCUUGUACAAUACUUGUCUAACUGGAGGCACCUUUUCAAAUUAUUCCAGCAAUUUUCUCUUGUUUUAACACUUUAGCAUUAGGAGAAUAAUUUCUAAUCUGCGUAUCCAGAACUAUCAGGUAAGCUUUUUUUUAUAUAUAAAUUUUGUUAAAAAGAUAAAGCAUCAUCUGUGAACAACACACAACGCAGGAGCUACUGGUUUAUUAAACUAGUAAAAAUAUUAAGGGCUGAAAAUCAAUUGUUGCUCUAAGCCCAAUUGAACUAGACGCAUACUAGUCUAGCUGCAAGUGGUAUUUACACUUUGGAGUUUCCCAAAAAUGAUUGUAAAGCUAUCGGUGUAGCAAUUGCUACGAUGUCUCUAGCUCUCAAAUAGCACCAAAUCAUCUUGUGGUAGUUUAAAAAAAUGGUUCUCCAUGUCAGCAGAAACAAGCUUAGACUUUUUUUACUUCAAUCCAUAUGUUCCCAUUGAUUUCCAAAAAUACCCACAUGUGACGCUAAGAUAAGAUGCUUGAAUGUGCAUCUAGGAAUGAAAGUUCAUUAGAGAACUACAUAAAUGGAAACUUAGAGAUGCACAUGGCCAUGAGACUGUUGCCCAAAUAUAUCUAACAUUGCACCCUACUAGCAGGACAAAACCAUUCAAGUUUUUACUAAUGAUUCAUAUAUCUCUUUCUAACCACACUUUAUAAACUCAAAUAACCAAUGGAUUAAUAUGACAUUCCAAGCUCAAUGCAUGAGGCUCCCACCAAUGCAAAGCUUGGGAAGGUAAUAUGUACGCAGCCUUACCCUUGCAUUCGCAGAGGUUGUUUUCGUGUUUCAAACCUGUGACCUCGAAGUCACAAUGCAGCAACUUUGCCGCUGCAUCAAGACUCAUACUCAUCGAUAUGACAUGCCAGAAUAGUACAUUAUUCAUGUUGAAUACAAAGAUUGCAUCAGUUGCAAAUAGAUGCCUAUGCAUUCUCACUAUACGAUUUCUUAGAAGAACUAGUGAUAUAGUUAACUAAAAGAGACCACCAAACUUUAGCUCUGACUGUACCAUCUCUUGCCAGUUGGGCAAGAGGUCAAGGGUUCAUUUCCGGUUGAAGUUACCCUCAAGGGGUGGGCUAUGAAUAAAGGUAGAAAGGUGGGGCUUAAGCUCCUCCUAAUCUCAAGAAAAAAAAUAAACAUGGCAUGACAUUAUUAACUUUAUGAGAGGUAAAAAAGAUACAAGUAUGAAUUCUAAUCCUACUUUUGCUUUAACUAAAUAUAUGUAGGUUCAUCGUCAUGUUGAGAGUAUUAUAUAUAUAUUUUUUUUGCAUCUAGAUAGCUGUCUAUGAUAAUGAAGGCCCCCGAUGCUAAAGGCAAUGCUGAUUGUAAUCUGAAAUAUCAUCCGCAGCUAACUCAUCAAUUUUAGAUUUUGAGGAACAAAUCUCAGAAUGAGCAUGACUUUCACAGAUAUUAGCUACAAAAUAUAGCAUCAUUAGAGUGAUUUUUGUGCAUAAAGCAACCAAGCUUACAGGAUCCUUUAAGGAUGGCAGCCAUGUUGCGAGCUGCGCCUCUUACAACCAGACGGAAGUCCCUUUUCAGGCCCACAUGUUUGGCAUAUUUCUGCAGAAGAAAUGCAAAUGCAAGAUCAGGUGAUAGCAAUAUGAUGUAGAUUCAAAUCCAUCAGCUGGACCAGCAGUAACGUGAGUAUGUUAUGAACAUUCUCAAGUGUACUCCAAGGCAGGAAUUUUGGCCCAGAUGUGAACCUGGUACAUAGGCCCUUCAUCAUGGCUGGAAAUCAAGCCCAGCCAUUUGAUAGUGUUUUUGAAUCUUUCAAAGUGUUCAGAUAAUAUUUAAAGUGAAAGGUUAGCUGUUGAAUCAUUAAAUACAAGGAUUCUAAUUGUUUAGAGGUGGCUAAAUGUAGGUUUUAUCAAGAAAAUGAGCCAUCAGUUAAUUAUGAUUUAGUUUUGGAACAUCAAAUGAAAAGUUCGUAAGCUACUCUGUCUUCUUAUAUGGGCAUAAUUAGAAUGAUGAAUUUUAUGAUUGAUUUGGCAAAUUUCUAAUCUAAGCUUUGUACAUUUUGCUUGGUCAUUCCAAAUUUCUUCAUCUUGCUUCUCUUAAUUUUUUUCUUGUUGCUAGUUUAGAAUCUUAAUUUCUGCAAAUUUCUAACACAGGAUACAUCAAUACACGAGCAUCUCAUCAAUUUACCAAUCAAAAAUCAUGCUUCCAUGUAAAGAUAAUAACUAAACCAACCACUGAUUCAUGAAUAACAUUAAGCGAUAACAGGGAGUUUGCAGUCCACUGACAACAAACCAUGAUAAAAAUGAAUGAGCCAAAAAAUACAUAGAAGGUUUAAAGAAACCACUACAUUUUCAAAACUCAUUUUCAUAACAAGUCAUUUUACUAGGGUCGAACUAACUUAUUAGAGUAGAAUUCAAAAGGAAGCCCUCAAACCACAUAGAUAAUUCAAGAAUGAUUGGUAAAUAUAAGUGACUUUUCUUGAAAACACCAGGACUAGUACACUACAGCAUAGAAGCCAGUCCAUCAGUACAUCCAAAAUUUGAGUGCAUUCAUCACUAAUAUAUCCUGAAAGAAUAAUGAUGAUUUAAGCGAACUAUCAUGGAGGCUUUCACCAUGCCUGGGUUUCAAGCAUCCCUUUUCUUUUUUCCUUUUUCAUGUACUAGUGGACAAUGCAGGAAAAAAUGAAAAAGUAACACAAAAGACAAAGGCAGAUGGAAAUCAUGUGUGAGAGAAGUUAUGAUAAUUUUAGAUCUUUACUUUUCUUUUAAAAAAAAUAUAGAAUACAAAAUCAAAGAAAUAUAGAAAUUAGGUGAUGAGAUCAAAUAGAAAAACAGCAAUGCAUGUAGCAGUUACCUCAUUAACAGGAGCCUCAUUGUCCCGAAAGACAGCAUCAUGCUUAUCAAUUUCUUGCCCAAAUUCUGUCUUCAAGAGAUCUCCCGAGUUCCCAACAACCGCACAUGUUCUAAACUGAUAUGGAUGAAAAGGAGGCUUAGCUGGUAAAAUCAAAUUAAGAUGCUCCUCACAAAGAGAACGGUUGUAGCAUUUAUCUGCACCCCUGCAGCCCCAAAAAUGAAAACGUGCCUAUUUCAGCUGUUCCUGACUAAGUACCAGCAACUAUGAAAUCAAACAAACAAAUUGGAUAUGUUAGGCAUCUUACAGCUGUGCAAUCCUUUUUGCAGCAUACUCUAGCCAUCCACCUGGUCGCACAUCUAGGUAUUCCCUUGUCAAGACCGUAGUCAUGUUACGGUACUGGCAUUCUUUAUGGCUUCAGUACAUGAUAUUUUUCAAAAAAUGAAUCAGUAUUAUAAUAUAUUGAAACUAACCUGCUCCCAUAGAAGGAUAGCUUCACAGAGAUCAUAUUUGUACUCCAGUGGCUCGAAAAUUUUAAACUGUUUAUUGUACUGCGAAGGGGAAAACGAGAACUCAAUAAAAUCAAGACGGGAUACUUAAAGUGCAAUAUCUUUUUAUAUAAUGAGAAAUGGAAAGUUAAAGUGACAAUGCUGGAACAUAAGUUUAGAGUGAAGCUUGACCCAGGUACUGUUUGUGCCUUCAGGAAACUUAAGCACCAAUCUACAGUGGUCGAUAAUGUCUGCGGUAAGGCCAAGUCCUCGGCUUGCCUAAACCAAAUUUCAAGGUCACUUAAUUAAAGAAUAUUUGAAGAUCGAAAGUGCACUUAUAAAGAUAAUGAGAAAAACAAUAUGUAACAUACAAGAAUACAAGCAACCAAAUUAAUCCUUGUGAAUCAGCUGACAAUCUAAAAAUUACAAUGCAUGAAGAUGAUCAAAUAAUAAUAUGUUCUCCUUUUACUUCUUUUCUUGUAGCUUAAGAAUUUUGGAUACAUACGCAUGCAUCAGGCUCAUAGAUGAUCAUCAUGCAAAUGCAAGCUUUUUGACAGAAACAUCAAUUUGGUAAUGUUCCAAAAAAAAAAGAGAGUCCAUCAAAUUUGUAUUUUCAGGCCUUCUCACUCAUAAUCUCAUGAUCAUGUUUUACUUUGCUUUUUGAAUGAGUAACUAGAAAAGCAGUUAAUUAGGAUACUAAGUUGCUGACAUAAUGUAAUGAUAACUCUGUUGCAUACUAAGGAGCUAGGUGCCAUGCUAUUUCUUUUCUAAGUAUAUCAUUCACGUGUUUCAUAGAACUUUCAUGACAAGGACGUUUUGCUGCAAAUGAAAAUAAUGUCAAAUGCAAGCAGUACAUUCUGGCAGUAGAAUCAACUUCAUUUUUCUUUAGCAUAUUUUCUUACUGCAGCUACGCACAGUUAAAAUCUGAUUGUGGUGAUGCAACUUGGUGAGCCAAAGUCCUUAUCCAAGGUUAGUGCACAUAGCCCUAGGCUAGUGGUAGUGGGUAGCUGAUGCAUUUUGAAAAAGGAGGAGAAAAAGAGUGAACACUUUGAGAAAAGUAUGUUAUGAUCUUAGAUACAAAAAAAUUCUACUGCUAGUAGACCCUCAAAAGAGCCUUCCAAUGAACUUGAAAUCACCUUAAUCAGCAUCUGGAUGCUAGAUUUUCAAUGCAGCAAUGUACAGGAAACAAUACUAAACAGGUACUACAGUCUGAACUAACAAACAAUCACAUAGGCAACAUUGAUAUGAGGUUUCAAGAGACAUAUUGAAGUUUCUUUAGGUACCAUUUUUAUCUAAGGUCAAAUAUGCUAGUUAUGCCUUCAAGCAGAGGCCUUACCUCUGAUGGUCAAGAUCUAUCAAAGGCUUCACUUUAUGUUCUCUUAGUUUCUUCAUUUAAGAUCUUAAGCACCACGAGCUAUGAUUUUAGAGAGUAGAGAGUUGAUUUCAAGUAUUAUGUUUAACAAAAGAAAGAGCUAAAGCUUGUGGUCAAGAAGUCCCACACAUUAUUUCUUAAGCUUCAAGGAACCCCUGCCUUCCUCUCCUUUCUUCUCUCCUUUUCAUCUUAUUUUCCUUUCUCAUAUUUGAAGUAUCAGCUUACACAAUUAGGUUUCAGGGUCUGAGGCACUCUAAAGUGCAAUGUAUGGCAGCUAAAUCAGUCAGCAGUCUUGGAGGAGUAUAUUAUUCUCUACAGGAGAUCACUGCUUACCCUUAAAAUAUUGAAGUAUAACCCCUAAAAACAAAAUUCUGCAUCCUACCAUGCACUUCACCUAGGGGAUUGACUAGCAGAGUGAUUUGAUCAUGCUACUUGCCUACCCAAUACAGUACAAACUGGAACUUAGAAUAUACAUAUGUGACACCCAUGUGGUUUAUUGGAAGAAACUAACUCGUUCCAUCUCACGUAUCACUGCAGCUGCCAUUUACCAGAAACAAUGGGAAUCUUCACUUACCUAUACCAAAUUAGCUAUUAAAGCUAAGCUCUUCUCUCUUUUUUUUUGAGUUAAAACCAGUGCUUCUUAACAUGCCAAAAAUAUAACCUUAAUUGGAAAAAAAAUGAAAAUGUAGAGGUCUUCCCAUGGAUCGCAUGUCCAAUUCUACAGCUCAUAAGCAACGAAAAACCAAAACCAUCAGAUCCUAACCUUGACUCAAUGCAUGGAACCGAUCUGAUUCCAAAUGCAAUAGCUUCUAACUAAUCAUAUUAAACCACUGCUGCUUUCCCCUCCCUUCCUUUUGCCAUUCUAAGGAUGAUUAAGACUACCAUAUUCUUCUAAAAAAUUAACACUAUUUCCAAUAAUUCAAAUUUCCAACUUAAUUGUGAAUACACUCAUAAAAUACGAAAAUCGAAUCCGGAAAAGCGUGAGUAGGCGAGAAAACCGAAAGAAAAUCGAAGUGGCGAAGAGAUAGAUAACGUACCACGCAUUGUUGAACACGGGACUGGAAAUCCGAGAGGAUCCGGAUCUCCUCACUGUUCGUCUCCAAUCUCCGGCUUCCUGCAACCAGAAGAAGAUCCAGAGGAGAUGGGAUCAGAUUUUUAGAUGAGAUGGAGGAGCGAGGGUUCCUUGGCUUCGAGGCUCACUGGUGAAGUAGGAGGACUGGAUGGAGACAAGGAAGAUGGAGAAGGCGAGGGCAGCCCCGAGGAGGAGGAGGACGGUAGGCCGGCGGCCGGCGGCGGCGGCGGCAGAGCUCUUCGGGCUCGGCAUCGCGAACAAGUCGGUCGGGAUCGGAAAUCACUCCAGCGUCCAACUGUUCUCUAGAGUCUAGCUGGAACUUGGAAGCGCUUCGUCCCCCGGGCGAUCCCGUAACUGGGGACUACGGAAUGGACGGUUAGGAUGAACCAAUAACUUCGGCACCAACAGAUUAGGAUUGAUCUUUGUUUACCGUUGGAUCGCAUUCUGCGUAGAUCUCAAAACAUUCCGAAUUUUGAAGCAGGACCGAUCAUAUAUCUGCCUGCAGCAAUUGGUUCAAAGCAAGGGAACCUAGCGGAAAGGGAGGAAUGGAUGUUUAGUUGGAAACUUGGUUACAUUUGAGAAAUAGUUACCUAAUUCACGAACCCUAUUUAUGAAUUGUUAAAAAUGAAUGUUUUCACUGUUAAAAAUGGCUUGGAAAAACCAUUGGAUUUGAUACUUGCAAUGAAUGAAUUAAUCUUUAGUAUAUUUAAGUUGCAUUGUUGCUGAUUGAGAUAAUCAUAAAUAAAAAGUAUGAUGAUGCAUAAAAUUAUAUGCAUAUGCAUACAUACUUAUAUAUAUAUUAGAAAAUAGCCUAUACAUACCUUGCUGAAUAGACUUAUCAGUGGAGCAUAUAUACUCACUCGUGAUCAUACAUACAUGUAUGUCAGCCUCUCUCCCUCUCUAUGCCAAAUAAGACACUUUCUCAGCCUCUGUCAUCAUCUAUGAGAUCACUCACCAUGGUUAAGAUUUGAUGAACCAAAGGCAUCACCCUCUGACAUUUUCUUUGCUGGAUUUUCUUAAUCCCCAUUUGGGACCAUGGCAAGUGAAAGAAAGAAGAAUUUUCAAAAUGAGAUGCACAAAAAUACAAAAAAAUCAAAUUUUCAAAAACUUAAAACCUAAAGAAAUUAGAGGCAGUGGGAGGAUGGGGUGGAAUAUCUUGUACACGAGCUUAUAAUCUUACCCAGGGGACAAGAAGGUAGUUGAGUGGAUCAUCUUGUACAUAAUCAUGGGUAUCCUAAAAAUGCUUGUUAACUAAUCGAUGCUAAUGGAGAUGAUAUCCUGAGACCUUGGAACUCUAUAUACCUUAAAAAGUACUAUGCAUAAUAAGCUAGAACCAAAUCGCCAACCUUCUCCUCUCACUGUGUAACCAGACUAGCAAGUUGAUCGAACCUUAAUCAAGAGAACAUAGCCCAAAGAGAACUAUGGGUAAACCUUAGAUCAAGCCUACGACCUGCACAAGCAUUUGCUUGAGAAGACUCAAGCAGAGUCAAGGUCAAGCUACGCUACCUCAUGACCUACCAAAAUAUUUCUAAAGCGGACAAAGAGAUGACUCCACCAAUAUCAGGAAAAAAAAACCUAAAUAAUAUUUUUCAACUUAUUUUGUGUGUUGUUACAAAUAGUAUUAAAGCGAAUCAACCCAUGACCUAUGUAGACUAGGAAAUACUAUAGCACAUGCCUAUUUGCAUUGACUAAAAGCUGAACGUGGUGUUUGUGAUUAGAAUUGUAUAAUUUUUAAGUAGAUUUAGAUCCUUAGCUUGUGAGGAUGUUGGAGAUUAAACAUAAAAAGUCUGUGAUGAUCCGUAUGGGCAUAUGUUUAGUCUUAUAUUGGUUAUAUAUUAGAUAAGUCUUGUGUAGUUAAUUAAUAGGACUGAAGAAUGCACAUAAAAAUUUUGGCUAGUCUUUUUGAGCAAGAUCUUGAGUUGUGCAUAUAACCUUCCCAUUGUGAAAGUUUUGAUCCUCAAGUUGGAUAUUUGAAGUCUGCUUAUCAACCUCCUGAGAUCUUUAUAAAUAGCCCUCCACCCCCUCUCUCAAAAUUUGGUUGGCACUUGCAGUCGCAUGCAUUCUGCUUCUUGAGUGAGAGGAUGCUUCAAGAGGGCAUUGCGAGAAGGUGCUGGAAUUGGAGGAGUUAUGCACUUUGGAGCAACUCAGAUUCCACCAGAUCCUACGUCCAGGCUACACACACUCUCUCUAUUCUUUUAUUGUCUUUUCAAUCUAUUUUCAUACGCAUCUUUCAUUGAAGCCUUUCAUGCAUGCACUAGAAUCGGAUAUUCGACCUACCUGUUAUUUUGUUAAAAGGUUUUUAGUUCCGGAGGUAGAUAAUGUUUCAUGCCCCAUUCCUCUUCCCACGUAUGCAUUGAUACAUGACGGUUAUUAUCUUACAUGCAUGCAUCGACUAUUUUACCGCAUCUUUCUAGUCUAACCCAAAUCACUUAUUUUUUCUCCGCAACCAUCCUCACACAGACUUUUUUUUUUUCUUCUUCUUUUUUUUUCUUUCUAAGGCAGGCAUGUCAAACUGCACGAGUUCGGACACACCCAACAAAGUUAGAAAAUAAAAUAUCAUGAGAUGUCCUAAGCAAAUCCUCAUUUCCGCAGUACUAUUAACCUCUCUAAAAACGUGCUUGGCUGGCCUCAAGAACCACUCUGUCUCCGCCCAUCAACCAAAUAUCAUGCAGCAAACAAAGAUUCUUAAGUUGGGCAUGCUCUAACCUAGUGAAAAAAACCCAUGACUAACCAAAAAAAGCAUCAAGGCGGCCAAUAGUCCGAUAGCGAUAGUGCAGUUCUAGUGGCCAAGUCAUUUCCUCCGCGGGACACCCAUUUCAUCCUUUUGAUCGUACAGUUCUUAGUCUAUCUUUGGAGCAUUUGUUCUUAUUUUAUCACAUCAUCAAAGCCACCAUGAUAAUGAUAAUGAUAAUGAGGAUGAGGAUGACAAUAAUAAUGAUAUAAAAUGAUGGUGAAAGAAGAAAUCGUGUGCCAAUGACUGCUUGCAAAUUGAGGACGCCCUCCAUCUGAAGGCUUUUUCUUUGUUUUUUUUUGUUCUUUUGGGUGAGAAUUCUUUGGCAUUGUAGCGCAAUUGGUCCGCGAGAAGGUGGUAUUUUCGUUCCAUGCUCUCGGCAAAAUCCAUCCAGCCAUUUAUUUCAACGCUGGCUUGCAGGUAAGCUAGCAUUGCAAAAGCCCCGCUCCGGCGGCGUCCGCGGGAAAGCCAUGAAAACAGUAAACUUGUGCCAAGCGUAUAGACAGUAUCCUCUUGUGUUGGGACAUUAAUUUAUACCCUAGAUACAAUUCAUAUGUACCUGAAAAGUUUUAAGACCUCAUCUCACUAUUAUUUCCUUUUGAAAAUUAAAUCUUAAAAUAAAUGAGCAAUUCUGCGGUGACUCAGAAUAUUCACUAAAAAAAAAGUCUGUCUAUAAAAUAAAAACUCUCCAUAGGAAUUAAUGGAAUCCCAAGCUACUUGCUUAAUGCUAUAAAAUUAAGCAGGACGAGCAGACGUACCAUUCCAUAAUUCUUUCCGUGCGUCGAAGCAAUGUUUUAUAUCCUUAUUUUGUAAGGAGCUCCAGUGCACGCCCAAACCGAUGCGCGUGACAUGGAAAAGGGGGCAAAGGAAGCCAAAAGGGAACAAGCAGUAUGAUGAUAUGAUAUAAUAUAAUAUUGCUGUCAGAGACAAAAGGUAACCAAACCACCAGCGUAUGAGCCCAUGGUCGUGACCUACGUUUCGUAGACGGCUCCUUCCAUGAUGGCCUCUUUCCUUCGUUGCGGGCUCGCCUUUUCUCUCUCCUUUUGCUAACAAAAGAAAAUUAGGGAGACAACUGUGGUAUAUUUGCCACACCGACACCUAAUCUCUACUUGCAUUGUCCCUCCCUUCCUUUCUCUCCAUCCUACCAUGUCCGUGUGCCACAGAGUCAAAUCCCUCCGGCUUCCAAAUCUCCAUCCUCAUCCGCUUUGGUCUCGUUCUCAUAUCCUCCAGCUGUUCACUUAAUUAAACUUGCGUUGGUAAAAUAAAUAAUAAUAAUAGUGAUAAUAAUAAAAAAUAAGUAAUAAAAAAAUUGAAAAAGAGUUGAGCAGGUAACAUUUUAAGGGCGGAUAAUAUUUUUUUGGAAGAAGACUUUGCCAUGAUGAUCGAGUAGAUUCGGUAUAUAGAGCAAUGGGGCGAUGCCGCCCACUCUGCUUAGAGAUAUCUAGAGGUUGGUGAAAGAUUAUUACUCCUUUUCGGCUGCUUAUGUGUACCGGAAGGCGAUUAAAUUGUUUUCUUUGCUGCUCAUUAUUUAGAAAAGUUUUUAUGAACAUGGUCUGAUAUCGCUCCCUCAUCUUUACGCCACUUAUUUCUCUAUACUUUUUGGACAAAAAAAAAAAUAUAAUAGUUUGGCUAGGAAGCCCUAGCCCAAAGGGAGCUAAGUCGGAAGUUAAUAACCGGGCCGGUGGGGUCAGCUAGCUUUUUGCCACCUUCAGGCCGAGCCCUGGCUCUACCGGGAUCCAGCUGGAACUCCGCCAUCUUUGCAGGAACUCCCAGGGUAGGAUCGUGAUAUGACCGCAGGGUCUUGCGCGCUCCCAGAAUUGCUGCCACUUGCCGCCAGUCCACAGUCCGGAGAUCCUGCAACCCGCCUACUAGACCCUAAAUGACCAUUUCACCCGCAUCACCGACCGGGCUCCACAGGAGAUACAAGGGCAAAAGGGUCAUUUGAAAAUCCAUGCGCUUCCAAUACCAACGGUCAAACUCAAAACACCGUCCCGCGUGUCGCGAGAGCGUCCGGGCGGAUGGUGGUCACCAGUCACCGCUCCUAUUUCCACCCACCGGCUCGUCCGAACGCCUCCAUAUUUCGCCACCUAUCCCUUAUGGACUCCGCCCAACCGACGUGUCCUGUUACACGGUGGUACCCGCUCCCUUCUCCGACCGCCAGCCUGUCCCUCAUCUCGCCAUGUGUCCUUACUUUUUCUCCUUGGUGUAACGGACCUGCGCCUUUAAAUCUAGUCGAGCUUCUCCCCAUCGGACAGCAAUCACGCACUGUCCAAGGCUUCCAACUCUCUUCUUCGAGUUCUUUCUCUGCCGCCGCCAUGGAUUCCGGCCAUUCGCCGCUCCUCCUCGCCGUACUCCUGACGAUCCUCGCCGGAAUAUCGUCGGCAUUGACGGAAAAUGCCGACGUCCGUCCCACAUUGGCGCCGCAGAUCAACUCCAACUCGGUCCUGGUCGCGCUGCUCGACUCCCGCUACACGGAGCUGGCGGAGCUCGUGGAGAAGGCCCUCCUCCUCCGCGCCCUGGAGGACGCCGUCGGCCGCCACAACCUCACCAUCUUCGCCCCCCGCAACGAGGCCCUCGACCCCGAGUUCAAGCGCUUCCUCCUGGAGCCUCGCAACCUCAACUCCCUCCAAACCCUCAUCCUCUACCACGUGAUCCCCUCCCGCGUCGUCGCCUCCGAGUCCUGGGCGGCCGUGCCCGUCGACCAGCGGACCCUCUCCGGGGACCGCCUCCGCCUCUCCGGCGACGGCACGGCCGAGAAGAGGGUCGACACCACCGUCGUGAUCCACCCGGACGCUGUGGUCCGCCCGGACGGCGUGAUCCACGGCAUCGAGCAGAUGCUGGUCCCCAGAUCCGUCCAGGAGGCGUACUUCAACCGCCGGCGGAGGCUGUCCUCCGUCGCCGCCGUGCUGCCCACCGGCGCGCCCAAGGUGGACCCCCGGAGAACCGGUAACCGCCUCCUCCCCUCGAAACCGGUCUCCCCGGCCGGCGGGCCGACGACGUCCCCGGACCCCGCCGUGGCGUCUCCGGCGUCGGAUCCGGCGCCGGCGCCGGGGUCCGCUGUCCAGGUGUUCGACGGGGAGAGCGAGGUGAGGGACUUCAUCCACAGCCUGAUCCAGUACGGCGGGUACGGCGAACUGGCGGACGUGCUGGUGAAUCUGACGUCGCUGGCGACGGAGAUGGGGCGGCUGGUCUCGGAGGGCUACGUGCUGACGGUGCUGGCGCCCAACGACGAGGCGAUGGGGAAGCUGACGAUGGAGCAGCUGAGCGAGCCGGGAGCGCCGGAGCGGAUGGUGUACUACCACCUGAUUCCCGAGUACCAGACGGAGGAGAGCAUGUACAACGCGGUGCGGCGUUUCGGGAAGGUCCGGUACGAUACGCUACGGGUGCCGCACAAGGUGGUCGCCAGGGAGGCCGACGGCUCGGUCAAGUUCGGCCAUGGGGAGGCCUCCGCCUACCUCUUCGACCCGGACAUCUACACCGACGGCAGGAUCUCCGUGCAGGGCAUCGACUCCGUGCUCUUCCCGCCGGAGGAGGACUCCGUGGCCCCGGCGCCCGCGCCCGCCGCCACAGUUGCCGCUGCCAAGCCAAGGCGAGGUUCGUUUUUUCUUUUCUUUUCUUUCCUUCCCUUCUAUUUUCUAGGAAAAUAUCUGAAAAAAAAAUUGCCCUUGUCGGUCCUCAUGUUCUUAAGGAAAAUUCUUUUAAACGAAAUUUCCCAGGAAUUCCCCAUUUUUUUUUUUUGUCUUUGUUUGGAAAUGUUGGGGACAAUGGGAUUGCUAGAUUUGCUUGGAAGGUGGUCCAGAGGAGUUAUAAAUAAAUAAAUAAAUAGAAGGGUGAUAGGGGAGAAGAAGACAUAUAUAACGUCUCUCGUAUCUGGNNNNNNNNNNNNNNNNNNNNNNNNNNNNNNNNNNNNNNNNNNNNNNNNNNNNNNNNNNNNNNNNNNNNNNNNNNNNNNNNNNNNNNUUCUUUUGCAACCUUUUCAAAAUUUUUGUCAUCGGAUUCCUUGCAAACCAAGUCAUAAAGCAGUCGCAUGCACGUACCAUCAAAACUCAGUACAUGUGUGGCUUCUGUAGCAACGACAUAUAAUAAUGUGAAUCAUAUUAAGGUGUUAAAAAAAUUGUUCUUGUUAGUGAUGAUAGUAUGCUUAUAUUUGGUUGCAGGAAAGUUGCUUGAAGUGGGGUGCCAGAUGCUGGGUGCCUUGGGACAGCGGGCUCGUUUCAUCACCUGCCAGUAGUCGACACGGCCAACUAGGAAAACAGCAUAGACAGAAGAAUAAAAGGUGACGCAUAUAUAUGAAUACUACUGAUAGUUGUGUUCUUUGCUGUGCAUGAAGCAAUGGAUACUGAUAAGCGAAAUGUGUGACAAACAGGUGCAGCCUGAGGUAGUCGAGCAGGGUCAUGUAUAAAAUUUAUCAGACAGCUUAUCGCAUUGGAGGAUAUAUAGUUGGGUUUCUCAUAUAACAUAUAUUUUUUUAUUUGAUUUCCUUUUUGUUGUUCUUGUUCUAUGGUGCAGCUUGCUGCUGGUGUUUCCAUAUGUUCAAUUUUCCUCACUUGUUACCGGUGAUUGGUUAUAUCGUACCACUCGCAUGUGAAUAUCAAUAAAGAGGAAAUAGGAUGAGCAGCAUAUCUUUGGUUCACUUUUGUCUACAGAAUAAAUAAAUCAACAUGAGAUGUCUUUUAUUUUAUUUUCCUUCUUGUUUCUUGAUUUUUCUUUUGUGAGCUAUAUCUUGUGUUGGAUAUAUAUAAGUCAUCGCUAGCUGUUUGCAACGUAUGAGCACUAUUACCAGCAUUAUCAUCAAGGUUCUCUACAGAUGGUAUUGGAGAGCUUAAUCCUAUGGCAUUGGCAGCACUGUUUCUUCAGUUGUUUUGGUAAUGGCUUCUACCGGGGUCUUUUAUUAUCUCCUCUACGUGGAGUCCGAGUGUGUGCAGCUUUGUUUGCACUCUGCUAAUAAAUAGUAUUUGAGGCUUGCCUCUUUUAACCCCCCCAAAAAAAACAUGAAAAUAAAAAUUAGAUAGAGGACAAGUAGAGAUUACUGAUUGAAGCAAAAACUUGCGCAAGCCAUCUAUCAUAGUCCAACAUCAACUAAUUAAGAAGAUGCUACAUGGGUAUAUAAACCUAGGCCCGUCCAUCCAAUGGCUCAAGCUUUUGCGGUGGGAGUUCAUUGGGCAGUAUCAGAGCCAGGCUCAAUGUACGUCACAGUCUUAUUAUUAGUCAUGUGAGCUUCUCAUUACAGGAUAUUAGGGUCAAGUUGGACCCGAACUAUUAGUGUGCCCCUCUUUCGAGAGCCAAUCCAUGAUGAGGGCUCACAAGGAUGGGUAGGGGAGACUCUUAUAGUUUCACAUCGGCUAGUAAAAGUCUAUGAGGAAGAAAAAAGGAGAGAUUGCAGUUCAUUGUCAGAUGGUCUGCCGUUUUCUUGGUUUUGGCACAAAGCGGGCAUGCAUUGAGGCCGCAAAUUGUAAGAACUUAGGACUUUUCCAAAGAUGGCUAGCCGAAAGGUAUUAUUUGGAUUCCUUGAUCCUGUAUAAGUGCUCAAGGGUCCUCACACAAAUCUCCAAGGUGCUCUUUCACUGUCACUGAUCUCUUGGUCAUCCAGGAUCCAACGACCUUAGCCUUAUGGCCUAAAGUGACAGCGACAUGGUCGACCUUUAUUGGUUGACCAUAGGCUUCCGCAAAAACGGCGCGGUCCAGAUAGAUUAAUAUUUCCGCCAACUCCAAGGUGAAAGGCAUGCACAAAGGCUUUGCAGCGAGCUCCUAACAAUUAGCUCCAAACCAUUGUGGCAACUGUGGUAGUUGAUGAGAGGGGUUGUUUCUGUCUGUGCUGAAGGGAUGGUUGGUAUGGCUUGGGUUGCUGCAGGGAGUUGGUACCCAUACCUUUGGCCUUUAAUAGGGUUCUAAGAGCGAGUGUUUAGUCAAGUCUCCGCAUCCUCAUGUCGUCCUUUGAGUACUUCAGCAUUGGUGUGACCGAUACUUCAAAAAUGGUAUGGAGUAGAAUAUAAUGGUAAGGAUGUCCGCCCACUAUAGUUGAUUUUACCCAGCAUGGUUGUUUCGUCUUGCCAUUGAUGCUUCAAACGAGGUUGUCGAAGAGGUGACUCGUGUCCGCUAGUUGUAAGAAGCAUGGCCGGAGAUCUUCGACUGCGUGCAUGGUAGGCUGUAGGUAGGUGGGUGGCAUUAAUAUCAAGCCAUUCUGCCAUCUUUUUUCCAUAGGAACUUGUGCUGGAUGCUUGUUGAUGAGACCCCUCUUCGGACAACCAAGAGGAAUCGAUCGAGUUUGCCUUGAGUAGCAACUGGGUGGCCAUGUUGCUUCUCCCAAUUGAUUGCUUUGCUCUACCUCCUGCUUUUCCUGUCUCCCAUCUCGUUCUCCAUUUUCCUCCCUUGUUUUGUCCUUGCCAUGGGGUUUUUUCCCACUUUUCUUCUUUACCUUGUUGCUCUCUAGGAGUGACCAAGAUGAGAGAGGUAUCUUUCUCUAGUUUCUCUGGAGCUUCUCUCUUUAAGUUCUUUCAUCUCUCUCCCGAGACUUGUCAUUCUUCUGAUUGGCUCUUUUUUCAUUGAAGGUUAGUUUUCAUAUGGAUGGAUCGAUUUGCAUUAGAAUUUGUUAAAAGCAAGUUUAAAGGUGAAGCAAAAAAUUUGGUGGAGAAUAGUUGAAUACUACAGCAAGGCUCUUUUUUCGUUGAAGAUUACUUUUCGUACGGAUGGAUCAAUUUGCAUAGAAUUUGUCAAAAGAAAGUUUACAGGUGAAGCAAAGAAAUUUGGUGGAGAAUAGUUGAAUACUACAAUCAGCGCUGUAAUGUAACCAGUAGAACAUUAGAUUUGAUGAGAAGUAAAAUAAUGCCCUCUAGGAAGUCAAACUAUCCAAACUUACAAUAGGCUCCUUGUAAGGAAAGAGAAAAUCAUCUGUAGGAGUGCUAUCCAUAAGCCAAUCUUUAAAGAAGAGAGGUACCACAAGCAAGCCACUUCUACUCUUACUAAACCAAUAGUUCGUGAUUCUAAAACUUUCAAAGGUCAGAGGUGCAAGGCCGAAGACCCUUAAAAAGUUGGUAGAGGCCAUCAAUUGUCCCAUCUUGAGGUUUAUUUUCUGUUUCUGAUUCAAGUUUCUACUAUACUCUUUGAUCUCAUGCGGGCAUGCCUGAUUUGCAUACAUCACAGUCCCAUGCUACAUCUUGGAGACCUAGAUAUUAUGGAGGAGAAGGCCCAUUGUAUAAUCCCUACUACUAGUGAGGAGCCAAAGGAGCAAUCUCUUUCCGCCAUGUAAUUAUGCAGAGGGGUUAAGGAAGUUGAGGUGGCAUACUAGUGAGGAGCCAAAGGAGAAGCCCACGAAGGAGGUCCCUCCACCCGAAAUUGCAAGUCUUCGAGCGGUUCAAGGAUAUUCUCGGAACUUUUAGAUGCUGGUUCAUUCGGCUAUCAAAAGCACCACAUGGAGCCUCACUCUUUUCCUAGAAAAAGAGUGAUGGGAGCCUCCACUUAUACAUUGAAUAUAGAGCACUUAACAAGGUGACCAUCAAAACAAGCAUCCAAUUCCACUAGGGAAAGAUCUCUUUGAUCGGUUUGGCGAGGCUCAAUUCUUCAGCAAGCUUGAGCUGCCAUGAGGAUACCAUCAAGUACGGAUCGACCAAACAGGAUCUUAGUUCUUGAUUAUGCUACUUGGCUUGAAAAAUGCUCCAACAUUCUACACCUGCAUGAAUAAGUUCUUCUACCCUACCUCAACAGGUUUGUAUGCCUUGACGACAUAGUGAUUUAUAGCCAUGCCGUGGAAGAGAUGCUGUGGCAAUAUACGAACAAGAUCAACAAGUUCCUUAAUGAUGCAAAGAGGACAUCGGUGCCAUAAGUGGGGAACAGCUCCUCCCACAAUAAGACUGCAGGAAAUUCACUCAAACUCUUAAUGGACUACAGAAGCUUGCAAGUCUUGUGGCGCUAUAGAUAUUUCAACUACUUUCUAGAAGAUAUUUCUAAUGCUCAUAAGUAUCUUGUUUCCGGAACGUACUCACUUCACCCCGCCACUUACCGAUCAAGACUCAUGGCUGAAAGAAGAGAGAGCUGUGUUUGGAAGAGUUGUUCACAUUUGGGAAAUGGGAGCAGCUGCAGCCGUGGGUUCGUCGAGGAUGGUCCAUCCAUUCCUCCAUGAUCUUGAGACCCCUGGACUCCCACGUCCCACUCCUGACUGCAAAAUAUAAUCUCCAUCUCAAUAUCCUGUUGCAGUUUUUCGAAACAAACUACAAGGGGACAGCCCUUGGCAGACCAAAACACUUAGUAGAAAUCUUCUUGCCUCUGUUAAAAAAGUAAACAUUCGACAGCAACUCCAAAACAAAAACCUACCUUACAAGAAAAAGGAAAAACAAAUUGAUACAUGGGCAAGUAAUCCAUUUUACGAGAAAACAUUAAUCACUUUAAUUUGGAAAGAGGCCAAAUGAGAAAUUGCUAAAUGACAUGAUGCAAAUAUAACGCACAUCAAAACAUAGAACUUGAAGGUUGUGGACAACAUAUAAUCCAUAACAGCUAUACAUCCAAAACCCGAGGCUCGGCAGAUGCCUUACCAAAAUGAUGUUAAAUAAUUUAUGCUCUGGCUAAGCGGCCCUCUUUCUCUUUCCACCACCUGAACCUCGGGGGCCCUUCUCUGCGGACUCAGACCCCUUGGAUUUGCCUGCAGGGGUCUUCUUGGCACCUGACUUUGACUUCCCAUUACUUUUCAAAUCAAGCUCCACUUGAACUCCUAUCGACACAUGAAAUGAACAUCAACCAAAAGAAUUCAUAAAAGAUGUUUUCGAUUAUGUCGAGAAAAGGGUAAAUAUGCAACUUGAAACCUUUAGGUUUAUUGCUAAGGAGAUCCAGCUGUGGCUUGGCCCCGCCAUCAGCGUUAAUUCCAAGAUCAUCUGAAAAAAAAUCGAAGAAAGACAAGAUUCGAGUCUUAGAAUGGAAGUCCUAAACGCAAGUUAUUCAAGAAGAAAUAUCAAUUAUUGCUUGUAAGUAUUACUAACAUGAUGCUUGAAUAGUUCUCAGCAUUUCAAUUUAUAUUCGACCCGAAAACACAAGAAUUACAGAAAAACAAUAAUAUGCCGAAAGUCUAACUGGGUUGUGGGUGUCCCACUUGAAAGUGGAGGUGGGCACAUGCUUUUGAAAAUAGUAAACACAUGAGAGGGUACAAGUACACGAACAUACUAAAAGCCUGUGUCCACAUCCGUCAAUACAAGGUCAAGCCAUGUUAGUGUCAUUUCAGUCAACCAAAUAUAUAAAUAUAUAUAUAAUCUGAUGCCCAAGUUGUAGAAGCAACGGGCAGAAGGCUGCAAUGAUGAUCCAUAAGAAUGUUAAAAUGCAUCUAGAAAUUCACCAAUUUACUAGAUUUGUUGUAAACACCAAAGGAAGCAACUAGAAAGAAGCAGUAUCGCCUAUAAACAAGUAGGCAUACUCUUUGCGAAGUAUUCGGAGAAGAUCCAGGUAAAAUAAUCAGAAAAUUGAAGAUUUCUUUCCAGAUUUCAAUAACUUGAAAUUAUUCGAAAUUUCUGAGAAUGUCUGCUUACGAGUUUCACAUAAAACACACAAAGUGAAAAGCAAAAGCACUCACCAGUAUCUUCUGAAUCAGAAGAAUACUCUUCUUCACCUUCUGCCACAGCAUCUCCAUUUUCUUCAGCUAAACCAGUCUCCACUGGCUCCAGCAUUGCUGCUAUUCGUUUUUUUGGAGCCUUCUUCAGGCCAGGAAGAGCAAUCAAGUCUGCUGCUCGCACCACACGAGAGCUGCUCCCCUGCUUAUAUGCCUUGGUUAAUGCGGCUUUAACUGCAGGUUGAAUUCCUUCCAUUGGAUUAGGAUGGCCCUAAAAUCAAUUGACAAGUGUUAGAAAUGCUCACGAGAGAAAUAUACUCGGAAAAGAAACACACACAAAAACGAGCACAGAUGCACACGCACACAGACAUGCUGGAUGUUAGUUAUGUAGAACAGACUGAAAAGCGAACCAAAGUUUACUUUGUCUGCAAAGAAUGUCUUGCUGCACUAAAAAUAAAUCUAGCAAGUUGGAUUUGCCAUGAGGUCAGAGCUAGAUACCCUAUCCUCCAACCUCAAAGAAAGUCAAGGGGUUAAGACCAGGACCGUGAUAUUUCAGCCAAGAAGUGAACUGCAAUUUAAAGAGAAGAAGAAGAAAUUGAAUGCCUAUGAAACAAUGAAAGACCAAACAAAUGCCACAUUAACACAAGCGUGAAGCCAAAUUCACAGUCCAAAAGUUUUUCCAUAAAUUCUUCUUUGACCAAGGACUUGCACUUUCUAAAUUCCUACAAAGAUCUUGCACUUUCUAAAUUCCUAUAAAGAAAUUGUGCUUUCUAAGUUCCAAAAAGGGGUGUUAUUCUUCAAAUAUUAGAUAAACACUAAUUCUGGAUUUUAAAAAUUCCCUACAAGUUCAUUCCUAGAGAAUUGUUGACAAAGUCCUUGUUCUAGUUCCAAUUCUUGCUGUUGCUCAUUUUGGGAUCUGAUUUUCUGUAUAUCUUCUUAUACGGCAUCAUUCCAACUAGGCCAAUUCAUAAGCAGCAUCAGAUAGCAAAAAGUAACCCUUCACUGGAGAAAGAAAUAAAGUACCAGUCAAAAUUCAACAAGUCUUUUUAUCAGCUAUGAUUGAAUUUAUACACAGACAUGCCACUUGCCUUGGACAUGUGAUUGCUUGUGCUUUCUACUUUUGAACUGUCUCCAUCAUCACGCAUACAUCUUUCUUUUCUUUUUCUAUAAAGAAAGAUCCUCAUUUUGCUUGGUCGUAUAAAUAUUGAUGCAGGGGGAUCACCAAACUCGAUGUCAACCACUCUGUUCACUAUCGGGAGGACUGAACAAGGUCUGAGAGCGAGAUCUGUCACAUUAAGAAGCCGAAUUGCAUACCAAACCGCUCGAGACUCAAACAUGCUUGUAUAACAUCCUAUCGAGGUGCUCUUUUUUUAAAAUCAGAUAACUUUUAAGCUCUGCAAUGUGAUGCCAAUCCCUAAAAGGUCCCCUAUACCUAGCAAUCAGGGCCAAACCCAUCAUUUAGGCCUCAAAACAAAUCAGUCAAAGAAAAAUUCUUUUCGAAAAGACUUUAACCAUGCACAUCUCAUGAUUCCGGAAGAAUUAGACGAAACAAUUGCACAUAAAGUUGAUGUAAAAGUCAAUAUCUACCUCUUGUAGGAUUUUUAGCUUUUUUUGUGAUUAUUUCCACUAGACAUCUCUAUUUCAGGAAAAAUGUAACCUCUUUCAACUAUAAUAGCAAUCUGACCUAAAGGGUGGACCUCACUAAUAUGAAUAGAGGCUUCAUAAUUCGGUCCUAUUAUUCAAUAAUGAAAGAAAAGAGGACUUACACCCUACUUUCACUAAUUUUUCUUGAAGGGAUCUCUUCCUUGUCCCCAAUAAGAUCAAAUAUUUAUAACUAGCUUCUCCAAAAGAAUCUACUACAAACACAAUGACUGUAUUCUUCUUUUGAUAUCAUUCAUAGAUAGUGAAACAUUCCAGCCUUUUGGAACCUCAUAGCAAAGAUGUUGAGAUGGUUCAGUUUUAUUUUAUUCCCACAAGAUACAAGCAACAUGGCCUAGGGUAUCCCAUUUUAUAAAAGGGUAGCUCAACUCUUUCAGUUUUGCAUCUCCUUGUAAACAUGUUGAAUUCUUUCCUAUAUCAAAAACAACCAUUAGCAAUGUUGUCAACAUUGGGUUUGAAUCAUAAAUAGUAGAUGAGACAACAUUAGAGACCAGAUAAUAGAUCAUGAGAUUUUUAAAAUGAAAAAUUCAGAAACUUUGAGAAUUACAGAUAAGAUAAAUGAUGAAAAAAAGCAAAACUUCAUAAUUAAAAUAUAAGAAUCUAACAUGACCUCCAAGAAACCAAAAUAUUUUCACCACCAUAAGCUCACAAAUAAUAUAUUGAGGAAACAAACACCACAUAAAUUCUUAAAAUAUCCUCUACUUUAAUCAAAAUGAUGUAUACAUAGGCCCACAGAAUAGACGAAAAAGAUCAAUGAUACUUUCCCAAUCAUCAUUGGUAACAAGCAUAAUUCAGAACCACCUUCCUUUCUACAUUCUGCAGAAAAGAAAAAAAUCAUCCAUAUCCUAUAGUUGAAUCUUAUAUGGCAACAUAAGAUUCAACUUACUACCUCUAAACAAAGUUGAUCAGAAUGCUGAAUAUGCUCAAAAUGGAAGAUAUCACCAAUCCAAAUAUUUGAACAUAAUAAUCCUUCAAGACAGGAAGAUUAUAGCAGGCAAAGGAAUGAAAAGGAGAAACAAUGACAAAAAUAUGAAUAUUUAUGUCUAGCUUUUAACUUCUGAACUCCAGCAUCUAAUAUAUAUAUACAUACACUAAAAUGAAGGCUCUGCUUCAGCAUAGCUCUCCAUUCACCACCUGUACAGAUACUAGAGCUCUCCGUGUGCCAUGUGAUGCCCAUAUUAAUAAUAUUAUUAGUUAAGCUCCUAUUUAAUAUUGUAUUAAAUAAGAAUCUUAUUAAUACAUUAAUAACAAACUUAUUAGCUUAUCAAAUCAUAUUAAAUAAAGGAGUUUGCAUAAGUACACUACAUUAAUAUAGAAACUAAUAAUAUUAUUAAUAACCAUAUUUGCUUAAUGUAUGUUAAUAUUAGUGAAAAAUAUUUUUCAUUAGUACGGUACCCUGCCCAUAUCAUGCAUGAUUCAUUAUAUUACAUUAAUAUUUUAUUGCAUUUUUGUGGUCAUAUUCUUAUUUAAAAGUGAAAGUACAACCACCAAUAAUCCCACUAUAUUGCAUUUAAAUAUCCUUAAUAUGCAAUAUUUUUCUAUUUCUUAUUUAUACGCAAGCUAGAUCAUGAUCUUAUUAUUUUAUCAUAAUAUAUUAUCUUACUAUAUUGAUAAUUAUACAUAUACUAUUAAAAUUUUAUAUAUUGAUAGUAUAUCGUAAUAUUAAUAUCAAAAAAAUAUUUAGAAAAUAAUUUGGCUUUUAUAUAUAUUAUAUUUUAUUCUAUUUCAGUUAUUUAUUCUAUUAUGUCUAUUUUAUAUUGCAUUUCAACAACAGUUGGAAAAAAGAGAAAAAAUUGCACCCCAUGCACCGCGUGGGUUAUAAGCUAGUUUAUUUACUAUUUGCUUUUAGAAGUCCAGAACCAUUAAGGAGCUUGCUUUCUUGUGCCAGAGGAUUAGUAAUGAUAGAUAUGAUUAUUCAAAGGACAGUUAAGUUGAUCAUAAAUUUCGCUUGGUUUAAUAUGUAGAGAAGAUGAACAAGUUGGAACUUGUACUCCAAGGAAUAAUACAAUCCGUAGAUAUUAUGAUUUCAUUUUACUAGUCUCAAUCUGAAAUGCAGACAUACAAAUAUUUCAUGCAUAACAAGUUGGGAUCAUUCCGAUUCAUGAAAUAAGACCAUGAUACCAACAGCAAUUAGUAUCAUCUAAUGCAGACACAACAAAUGUCAACCAUCGACCUCAAGGAAUACAAAAAGCAACCAACAAAAUAGUUAGUCAAAAAAAUAAUAUGGGCUCAUUUUUAUUAGCAAAUAUUGAGAAUAUUUAAUGGUUCUUUGAAAAUUCUGAACCAUAAAUAGACCAACCCGGAAUUUGGACAUCUCCACGAUGGUAUCAAAAUCCUCUUGACUUAGGGAAUAAGUGUCCAUUAAUUCCACAACCUUCUGAACAGCUUCCUCCUGGCAUUUGUUUUCACAUGUUAUACAUAAUAAUUGUUCUGUUUUCCUUAAGCAUAAAAUCUCUCUGAAACCAAAGCAGACCAGAGAACAUCAGACCUUAGGCAUCACUCGCAGAGGGUCUGUCAGUUGUUUCAGCAGAAGAGUGAAGUAAUCCACCCGCAAAGUCUCCCUGGUGCAUUUAGAUAUUAGAUAAAGAGUAGCAUCUCCAUUAUAGAUAAUACAACUUCAAGCCUACUGAGUAGAAGGUAUUUCAAAACAUUCAGGUGGUGCUAGUCAAGUCAUUGACCUAAUAAUCCUGAAACUUCUGAUGUUCUUAAGUCAAACAUUUUCAUCUUCUUUAUGGUCCUGAUAUAGAUAUUCACACAACUGUUGCAGCAUACAGAUAGAGAUAUUCAUUUAAGUCUAUUUCAUAACACAUUGACAAAGUAGAGGAAGGGCAAAAGAAAGUAAUUCAUAUCAAAGGUACUACAUCAAACAAACAGGAUGAAGGAUAAAAACUUAUGAACAUGGCUAGAAGGGCAUGCCACAAUGCUUCAUCGCGUCUCAAAGAUGUAGUUGGUCAAUAGUUUUCUUGUAUAAAGCGUUGGAUUAACCAUGCUCUGAUUUUGGAUUUCAUGCAAUCAAAAACUGACAAAAACAAAUUGAUUGCCAUUUGAUACACAAUAUUUCAUUUAAUAAUUGUCAUGAUGGUUUAGCAAAAUCUGCAGAAAGUCAUGUAUAAACACUAUAGUUACUAAAAAUCUACAACAUGUAGACUUACUCAUUUAGUUAUGCAAACAAUAAGGGAAAACUAUUGAGUUCAUAGGAGGUUUCGAACAACUACAAACAAGAUUUGCAGACGAUAAAUAAAACAAAUGGAAGAAUACAGAUUUACCUGGAGGGUGGUGUAGAAAUAUGUCAUCACGGACAUAUCUACAUAAGCAUGCAGGCACAGAUUAAGCAACUCAAUCAUCAAAGCCUUGGCACCAAUACACUGCUUCAAUCCAGCACUAAAUGCUAAUAUUGCAACUAUGUUGCAGAAUUUUGAACUCAAUUACAGCUUAAUUGUUCAUCUUUGACUUGUCCACUUUAUGACUAACUUAAAGUUUUAUGAAGUCCUUCCAGGAAUAGCUCUUUCAUAUAAAAAUACAGUAUUAAAUAGUGCUUAUGUUAUUUGACAAUUAACAAUGAUUUUACUACUUACAUCAGAAUCAGAAUGGUCCACUUAAUAUUAAUAUCAUAUUGACACGAUUUAAUAUUAACAUUCCAGUUAUUACCAGUAUCAUUAAAUGUUAUAAAUGAAAACGUAGAUUAUAAGAAAUCAACAGGAAUCAAUGUUCACAAAAGUCUCCUUUUUGAAACAUAGUUAAUAGCAUUUUUUUAACUAAUUUCAGCAUAAGUAUCUGUAUCAAGCAUUCACGAAUUCAAUACAUAAACUCUUAUUAUAAGCACCACAGCAUAAAUGAAGCCAACUUGAGACAAAUCUGCAUUAAAUGUGUUUCAUGUCUGUCAGCCAAACCAUGUAAUCUUGAUCAUAUUGGCAAGCCCACCAUAAUAUGGAAACUGUAAAUUUGCCAAUUCUUCAUGGGUCCUUAUGUGGAUUAUAUUGGAUUUGCAUAUGCAUAUAGAUUAUAUAGCAUAUAUACACUUCUAUGACCUUCUUAGUCGUGUGUUUGACUUGACUUGCUGAUGAGAUCAUACAGUCACUUAAUCUCCACCUAAACUAUGAUGGUGUUUGAGCCCAGGACAACACAUUUUUGAAAACUUUUGAGACUUGUCAUACACUAGCCAAGUCACCAUUCACUGUUGAAUUGAAUUGUCAUGAUGAAUUACAUGCACUUAUUCUCACAUACCAUGCAUUAAGGAUGUUUUCAACUUGCAUAUAAACUAUGAAAUCAGAUAUUAUAGCCUUAUGGCCACAUUCCAGGUUAAUGAAAACCACCUGAACAAGUAAUGGAGGAAAAUAUGAAGUGCUAAGUGAAAUCAGUUUUGUCAGAAAGGAAAAGUUUAUUUCUUUUUCUAGAAAUUUCAAAAAGUAAUGGCAUUUUCAAAGGGAAAUAAGGGAUCUAGAUCUGAAGUGUAAUGUCACCAAGAGAAUACAGCACUUAAUUGAUGGUGCAUGAACACGAAAAGAUCUCACAUGUAUUAAGCGGAGUAUAGAACCAGCAACUAAUGAGCUAAUUAUUAAAAAAAAAUCAUGUAGUUUACCUGUUCAUAUUAGCUUCCUGGGAAGCAAGAAUAUGAAUAUGGACAUCCUCCAAAAGCCUCAAGUUCUUUCCCAUUGUUGAGUUCUUUCCCAACCAUCCACCAAAUCUAUUAUAGUUUCGCUCUCCCUGAACCAGAAAAACUGAAAAAUUGAAAGACCAAUUUACUAGUAGCAUUUAUGGAAAAUAUUUCAUGUUUUGAUGGGGUUUCUCUUUUAUUGCAAUUUUUCAUAAGAGCAAGUAAGCCUCAACAUCUUCAAGAUGCUCAUUAACAUUCCCAAAGAAAUAAUUGCAGUAAAGUAAAAUUCUAAAGAAAUGGAGGAUGAAUGCCAUUUAUCUUCAAACCUGGUGGUGCCCAUGUCAUUAUCUCCAUAAUGGAUCAUCAAGACAAAAAUUUGCAUAUCAGAAUUAAGCUGAUAUGAUGAAAACAUUAUUGUUCUUAUAAGGGUUUUUUGCAUGAAUACCCUCCUAAAUAUCGGAUUUUGCAUGAAUAUCCUUCCAAAAUUGAUAUUUGCAUGUAUACCCUUGUAAAACACUUGUUUUGCCAUUCUACCCUUUUUUAUUUUUGUUUUUGCAUAUGUACCCAUGCUAUCUAACGACGUUAAAAAAUUAACGGUUUCAGAUUAAAAUGACUAAAAUACCCUUAAUGGAUAGACAUGCAAAUAGAUUGUGAUCCCAAUAGGAGAAGAAGACAAGGACANNNNNNNNNNNNNNNNNNNNUUGUUUUGCCAUUCUACCCUUUUUUAUUUUUGUUUUUGCAUAUGUACCCAUGCUAUCUAACGACGUUAAAAAAUUAACGGUUUCAGAUUAAAAUGACUAAAAUACCCUUAAUGGAUAGACAUGCAAAUAGAUUGUGAUCCCAAUAGGAGAAGAAGACAAGGACAAUAGCAUAAUUUAAAAUUUUAUUUUAUUUUUAAUUAAUAUAAAUAUGAUUUUUCUUAACACCGUUAGAACAACUGUUAUAUUACGGGCAUUUGUACAAUAACAAAAUUUUACGAGAGUAUACAUGCAAAUAUCAAUUUUGGAAGGAUAUUCAUGCAAAAUUUGAUAUUUAGAAGGGUAUCCAUGGAAACCCUUCUUGUAAUAAUUAAAACAAGCGCGGACUACACUUCGGCAACAAUAGAAAGUAGUAAAAGUGACACACUGACUUAAAACAUACUAGAAAGCAAUAAUUGCGGAAUAAAUCCCUUGCACUAAGCAAAUUAUAAAUUUAUAAAUAAGUGCUUGCUGAAAUUUAAAAAUUACCGGUUCAAGGGUCUCCCUAUGACCAUGCAUCAAAGCAGCCCUGGUGGAAUAAUUAAUAAAUAAAUAAAACAAAAAAACAAACAUACAAAAACACAAAAUAAACCGAGAAAUUGAGAGAAAAGACUUUGUGCAGGAUGAUCAUAACAUCAUUAAAGGAAGCAUUGUUUAGUGUUUGACAAUUAACAUACGGAAUUAUGCAAGAGGCAAAUGAUCCAGCUUGGGAUAGCUGCCAUUGGCGAUAUCUUCUAAUUUGAACAUUGACUAUGUCACCAUCCCCAAUAGACUCAGCAGCCCGGGCAAUCAGACUCAUUCUUUUGACUCCAUUAUCAUCCUUUCCAAUAGAAGAUGGACGAUAGUUGAUAUAAUUUUCCUGGCAUUUAAUGAAAAAGCAACUCAGGAUAAUUAAGUACAAAAUAUUUUUUUUAAUAAAAUCUGUAGAAACUUUAGUUUCCCCUUGCUGCAUAUAGUUAGGGAAAGAGUGCAAAGACAAUAGACAUCCACAUUGAUGGUGCCUCCAAACUGUUAACUACCAUAUUCUACGUUAUUAAAAACCAUAAAAAGAUAUAGAUGCAGUUUCAACUAAGUCCCUAAUUGAUCAAGCACAAUCACCACUAUAUGCCAUGAUUUUAACUGAUCCAAAUUCUAAAUUUGUAAUACCUUCCCUACAAAAGGAAAUUAUGGAACACUGAAACUAAUUAAACUUAACAGUCAUGAUAAUGUCAACUUUCUGAAGUGCAUUUCAAUCAGCAUGUGUGUGGGCAAUUUAAAUGGUCGCAACAAGUAAUUAAUUAUAUAACCUUAGCCUGCCCAUCAAACUUUAAAAAUCAUUAACACAACUAGAUCAUUAAUUCAAGUGCCACAAUUAAAUGUAAACUUAAAAUGACAGAGGCAGCAGUAGUAUAGCAAUGGCAUUCAAAGUUCAAAAUUUCACGAUUCUCAUGCUUCAAUUGUUUCUCUCAGGGGUCAGGACUUAGGAGUUACAGUUCCUUUGAUGUACUAGCGCAGUGUAAUUGAUUCAAUACACCUGAAUAAAGAGUCAAAUAUCAAAAUUCCCAAAUUGAAGCUAAAUAUACUGAUAUUUUUGGCAAGUUGUACUGAACUUCCCAGCUGCCAAAGGAGUUGUGCUACAUGCAGGGUGGCCAAGGGACUGCCUAAGUCCAGGCAGCCCAAGCAGCCAUUUUUUUAAAGGUAUUGACAAACCAUUCCUCUGUUUAAUAUUUCAAAAGUACUUUAUCAUUUUCGAACCUACAACCCUAUGUUGAGUGAGGUAAAGGAGUCAAAACAGAUUAAAAAUAUUUAAUACAUGUUAACAAGUUAACGAUAGCAAUGCUUAAUACAAGUUAACCAAUUAAAAAAUAUAUAAAUCAUAUAGCUACCAAAUCUCUGUCAAGGUCACAGGAUGGAUACUUCGGGUAAGAAGGUUUUAUACUUCAAGCAGAAAAACCAUGACAGAUUAUCCAAAGAAAAAUCUACAAAGACACAUUAUUCAUUAAUGAUAUCAAAUCCAUGUUUGGAAAAAACAUUCGUUUGUUUAUCGCAAACCUGAAUAAUAAGAGGGAUCAGGUCAGGAUCACUCAUGCUCAAGUCAACCCUCUCUUCCAUAUGCAAUUUUCCACCAUUGAAACCAAAUAACCUACAAAUGAAACAGCGUUAAAGGCAGAAGCAGUUCUGUAUAUCAGCUACACUGCAUCAAAAUUUUCGAAGUCAAGCAGGCCCUGAAAUCAGCAUUUUGGUAGUUUUAGUGGAUAUAAAAUCAAGAACGAAUCAAAGAUGGUCUCCAAAUUGGUAGAAUGACAUUGGGAACUAUUUCAAUCAACAGGAUGAGAACCUGGCAGAUACGAGCAUUAACAGGUUGGCCUAUAAGUCAUAUCCCAGAUGACAGAUGAUAGUAAAAAACAAUGCUGGUGAAGCAUGAUCGGCAAGAUAAAGUUGGAUAUGCAAGCAUGAUAUGUCAUUGAAAAUUCAAGUUAAUUUUACUCAUUGACUAAAGCUACCAAAGAUAAAAGUAAGAAGUCUGUAAAGGAUAAUUAGCAAUAAAAUUAAAUCGAAUACACAAUGUGUGGUGAAAGAAGAAUAAUUAAGACAAUUUAUUUUGUUCUUUUUUUAAUAUUCCUGUUGUUCAUUUCUCCAAGAAGAUGGCAUGCCUUGGCGCAGUGAUAAGGUUGCUCCAUUAUGACAUGGGUGUCACAGGUUCAAAAUGUGAAAACGGUCUCUCCACAUAUGGGGGUAACGCUGCAGCUGACCCUCCCUAGACUCUAAAGCGGUGGGAACCUCAUGCACUAGGAUGCCCUUUUGUUCAUUGCUAAAAGUGGACAAUGGCGCUAGUUAAAAGAAAUGCAAAAGAGGAAAAUGCACCUAUGUGAAGAUGGUAGCCCACAGCCAGCAAUAUAUAUGAAAACCCUAGAAUUGAUAAAAUAGAACAACUAGACGCUCUCAUACGGUCUUCCCAACCUCCAUGGAAGUUGAGAAACAAGAUAAUGCAAUGCUCUCAAUUACACCAUGCAACAAAACACCUAAGUACCUUCUAUCAAACUUCUUUUGAACUUUUCUUAUCAAGGGAAAGCAGAACCAUUCUUUCUUCCAGUUGUUAAUCAUAGCAAUGAAACCAAAGAAUAAGCUGAUCGCUAAGAACCAAAGGCCCAUGAAUAAUAUGCGAGUGCACCUUAGCUGUAAUUUAUGAAAUAUAUAUAAUAACGUUACAUGUACAUACAUCACAAGAUCCUGUCUUCUAUGGUAGUGUAAUAUGUGAAGCACUAAAGCCUAUUAAAAUGUAUACACAGCACACGAUAAGAAUCACUGCAUCAUUUUAGAAACCCAAGACAUACAUGGUAGCCUUACCAAUCUAUCAUCACAUUGGCUCAUCCUCGGAAAAUCUCCACUACAAGAUUGUCUUGCCACAUCAUCCUCCACAAAGUUUGCCACACUUUUGCUGGAAUUCAGUAACCCCGUUAUUGGACUGACUUGCCAUACCUUCUUCAUAAAGUUAAUCAAAUGUUGCCACAAUCCAGCAACAUGAAUUCCCACAUCGUAAAGAUUAAGGAUAGAGAUGACAUUCAUCAAAUGAUUCUAGAUCAAAUAUUGAUUCGAUAAAGGCUCACUUUUAUUCUUCCUAAUGAGUCUUGGAACUUAACUCCUAAGGUCCAAUUUGACCAAAUCCACUUCUAUAAGUGGACGUAACACCUGAAAUCACCUUCUUGCUCUGAUAUAGUGCUGACUACACAAGUCUACUGGUAUCCAGAUGUACCAGUUUCUAACUCGAUCUUCUUUCACUCGAUCUUCUUGCACCUCAUGUUUCAAACUCAAAUAUAUUUCUGUAAUAUCUGUUCACUUUGAUUUCUACAAUAUAUAACAUCACAAAGAUCCGAUUCUGAUGAUGCUCUGACCACACAUUAAUCCAUCUUGAGUCGAUAUCAUCUGGAACAAAAUGCGCUUGCUCCUAUCCAUACAGGUCUUUCCCCUGGAUUUUAGGCCUCAUCUAAACCUCUUUUAAACAAUUUUCCAUCUUAUACAUCGGAAUUUUAAGCUCCCUGGGUGCUUAGUUACUAUCCUUUGGAACCUGGGAAUUUCUACACUAUACAUAGACUUACUGCCAUGCUCACUUUUUACUUUUAAGUGGUCUUACCGCAUCUUCUUUCCCUUUUGAUGCAAGGAGUAAACAGGAGAAAGGGCAUGCAAACUGUUAAGGUUAGAAAUUUUCUGUGGUGCUUAGGAUUAGAUGGUCAGUAGUUCAGAUCCAACAUUAAAAUAUUAUCUACAAAAUCAUAAAGGUGGACAAACCCCUACAACACUUUGAUAGAGGCAUAGGACUUAAGGUAUCUAGUGGUCAGCAUGAAUUGUAGAGUAUGCAUGAAGUAAAAGGAAAUACUUUAUUUGCUGGAAUUUUACAAGGAACUGUGUUUCCAUAAAACUUGAACUUGUAAACUUCUACAGAAAAGGCUGAAAUUAAAUCACAAGAUGGAAGAAUCCCAAGGAAUCAGAUUACAUUUGAAUUACCAAUCGUCUUAUACUUUUUUCAACUAUUAUGAGCCAAGUUUCCAAGAUCAUCUGAAAGUAAUGCUUUGCACUCAUUUGAAUAUGAAGUUGACCCACUGGGCAACUUCAGCUUCUGCUAGUUUGUGUAAAUAUUCCACAUUGCGAAUUUGCCACUAUCACACAUGACAAUCUACAAAGUAAAAAAUUGGAAAAAGAAAACUGAAUGCAAGUUGAACUGAUCCCAGGAAAUCAAAUAAAAAGAAAGGCCAUCAUAUGAAGAAAAAUAUCUAAGCUAUUAGUAAAGAUGAAUUUUAUAGGAGUCACAGGAAAAAAAAACAGUUUCACUUAUAACAGAUCUGAAGACUUAAUGAAAAUUAUAAAUAAAAAGGAAGAAAAAUAAAAUCACAAAAGAAACAGGUGGUGAAGAAUAAUUACUUGUCAACGGCUGUAAAGGGUGAAAUAUCUUCAUCUUUUGAACUACUAAGAAGGCGUUGUCUGAUAUCAUCAUAAUUGAUUACUGAUUGCGAGAGGCUCAUAUACUGCAACUGAUUUAUUGCCAUCCGCAUAUCUCCAUUCACUCUGUUUGCAAGUUCUUCAAGUGCAAUCUAUUCAUAAAGGGGGAUCGAAGAGGGAUAAAGCAGUAUAUAUCAGUCUUUUUAUAAAAAAAAGAUUUAUGUGAUAGCAAAUGAAAAACAUAUAAGAAAAAGGAACUGGGACUUGUAGAUCAGCUGGAGUUUAGUUAAUCAUAAUGAGAUGGAACAUCAAUAAAAGAAAUAAAUGAGAAACUCAUGAUUAUACACUAAACCCGAAUAAGCAAACAAUGUGGUCAUAAACAACCUCAACUGCAGACAGACAUAUGGUACAUGAUUAAUCAAAACAAGGACAGCGGAAUAAAAGAAGAUAGAUGAUGUUAACUUCACAAGGCACCUCAUUAACUUGAAGACCUUCAGCAUCUGCAAUCUGCUUCAACCUCUUUGCCAUCUGCCAUGCAAAAGCUAGAAAUCAGCUGUUAUAUUUCUACAUUUUUCCAAGUUGUCACUAGAGACAAAGAAAUCUACGUAGCCAAGGAACUACCAUUUUCACCAUAAAACUAGCUCUACCAGUGAAAGAUCAAACAAUCAUCUUUACCGCCAGCACAAUUUAUCAGGUACACUAACAUCCUAACAGUCAGCAACAGUUGAUCAUUCAUUAUUCUAAGAACAUGAGGCAGCAUUUUAUAUCCCAUGUCAAGUCAUGGUUAACUAUUAUAUGUGAUAAAUUUUCCAUACGAAAAAAUCUGGAAAAAAAAUAUAUUAGACAACUAGGUAAACAAGACAUAAGAACAAGCCAAGUCAUGCUCAAAAAAGAACAAGCAAAGUCAAGAACAAAAUAUGAAAACUAUAGCUAAAAGACAACUAUGUGAUAAUAUUCACAAAUUUACAUUCAAAGCUUAAUAGAGCUGGUAAAAACAUUGCAUCAACUCUCUGAUCAAUUUCUAAUACAGCAGUACUUGUACAAGUAACUGAGCCUUAAGCAUAGUGCAUUUAUCACACUAUGCUCAUGUAUUCAUAUGUUUUUUAGCAAUUAAUAGCAACCAAACGGUCAUCUAUGAGCCUGCUAUCAGCACCUAUCCCCACCAUGCCAACAAGAGGUGUCCAAAGGGUUGUGAUUUGUGAACAUGAUCAAAAGAAUUCAACAUUUUAGCCGAGUCCCCUUUAAUGAAAUGUUUACUUACAACUUUAAUCUAUCCAAGAACAAACAAAAAUUAAAAGCAAUAGAGAUCAUAAGCCAUGAUAAGUAGAUAAGCAACCACUGUUUUAUGGAAACAACACACGAAUUCAGACAACCUGCUGUUUAGUAGGCUUCCUGAAGUUAAGCAGCAGGCAGUAGUUGACAAGACUCUUAAGUUUCUGGCUGUAGCGGUCAUUACAGAUGCAAAUGAUCGGGAUUUUAGAUAUUUUUAUACUAGCAAUAAGAUCAGCAACACCACCUCUAUCUCCAGCAGACAUACCAUCAACCUCAUCCAUGAUCAGUACAGAUUUUGGAUGCUUUGACCUGUAAUUUAGAUUACCAGCAGUAUGAGAACAAAGAAAGCCAUUAUUUCUACUGCGAUUAAAAGACUUGCACCCAUGUAAAACCAACCAGUUCUUGCGACAACUUAGGGCUUCAUUGCUGACAAGUUCUUUGAUAGAAUUUGAUGUAUUUCCACCAACUCCUUUAACAAUUUUGGUAUCUGCCUUGCCACGAUUAUCACUUGCAUUAACCUGCAGAAGAGAUUGGCAGAAAUAUUAGGAGAAAAAUAAGAGCAAAAUAUCACUAAAAAAUGCAUAUCGUACCCAACUUACCUACAUAUCCCAUGAAAAAGGCAGAACUAUAAAACAACAGAAACGCACCUCAAUAGCCUGAAAUCCAAGCAUCUGACUAACUAACUUCGCUGAAGUGCUUUUCCCAAUCCCAGGAGAUCCACUUAAGAGUACAGCUUUUUUGGAUCCACUAUCAGCCUGUUUUUUUCCCUUUCCCUUUUGGCCAGUAUGCAGAAAUUGUUCAUUCCAAUGCACUAGCCAAUCAUGAAGUUGCUUAACCUACACAUGGCAACAUAAUGCUGAAGUUUCUGCAAUGAAAUCCAGUUAGGAAAAUGAUAACAAAGGUAAAGACAGAGUUCCAUACAAGUGACUGGUUGCCAAUGAUGUCAUCUGGAACCUUAGGUCGGUAUUUCACGGUCCAUGUCAAUGAACUGCGGUCAGCAGAUUGGAUUUUUGGCUUGUCAGGAGAGGUGCUUGACUUAACAAUUUUUGCAGCAUCUUUUCUUCCUACAGAACCAACUUGAUCUACUUAAGGAGACCGAAUGCAUCAAGAUACAUUGUAAAAGAAUUAUAAUUUAAAGAAAAUAAAAUCUCCAGGACAAUUACAUAAAUGAAUAGCAAUUACUUAGAAUUGGAGCUUAGAAAGGGGUAAAGCAGACAUGACAUUGAUAAUGUUUUAUCUGAUUCCAAAAUUCAAUAGAUAAUGUUAAAGAACUUAUAGGAGACAACAUGACCACAUAUGCAUGAGUGUACAACGUACCUGUGAACAUAUUAAUGCAAGACACUAAUUAUGUUAAAGUCACAGUCCCUUCAUUUUGUCAAUUAGCAUAUCAAAUAGGCUGCAUCAGAUCGAGAUUCAGUACUGACUGAACUUGCUUACAUCCAUCAUUGAGAAUAUAGAACUGAACCCUAGUAUACUUGCUUGUUUUGGAAUGGAUAAAGGAAAGAUGUAAUAACAUAAGGUAUUUCAUAUUAUAUGAGCCUGGUUUGGUCAGAUCUGGUACAGGUUGGAUUUUGUUCUAUGAAUCACAGAACCAACCUCCAGGGAACUUUGUAUCAAGCAUGGACCAGGAUUCUGCCGAUGGUCUAAUUGGAUGAAGUCACCACAACCAGUUAUAAGAGUUUGCAACCAAGAAUCGACUAAUGAUUACCAGAUGUAAGCAUGUUCGAUAUAACUCUAUCAUAUGAUCAAUCACAUCUUUUGGGAAUUUAAGAAGUUACAGACAAUAGUUGGUACCUUAAUGCACAAACCAUAACCAUUACAAUAGCCAACAAAUAUUACUGCAGAGGGUUGCAAUUAAAUAUAUGAUCCAUCUUUGCUACCCAUCCCUGUAUAAAUGAAUAUCUAGAAUUACAUCCAGUCUCUUUGUGCUCCUCAUAACUUCCAUGCAGAUGAUGCUAACGGGUCACAGGAUAAAGAAAGUAACGCCCCUACCAGUUGAAAUCAUUGUCAUAAAUAACCAUAGCCAUCAAGACUUCCAAAUUUCAAUUAUCUGGGAUUGGCUUUACAUAUCUAUCUUCAUUAAUUGUUAGGAGCUACAACAACCAUCAUGAGCCUCUGUAUCCUUUCUCAGAACUUAAAUCCAUGCUUACCGAAGUUCUAAAACUUGGUUUUAGUUUCAGUUGAAAUCCCUUGGUAGAGUUUGGUUUCAAGAGUUUCUGCAGUUUCGAUAAUUGUGCUCCAAAUUUCAUAGUUUCAGUCAAAAAUAUUAGAAAAAAUAAAAAAAAAGGAAGAAAAAAGACAUCAAGAGAAGGUUUUUCACACUCUUUCACUUUGUUAUGCGUUAUCUAGGACAAUAUUUGUGCAAUUAGUACAGUUUUAGGUUGAAAAACUGAACUAUACUGAAGCUUAAUGUAUUAAAUAAAAGAAGCCUCAACUCCCUAAAUAGUUUAAGUUCUAUCUUUACAAGUUAUAAUGGAAUAGUUGAACUGAGGGAGAUUAACUGAAUUUAUUAUGGGUGAACUGAAGAAAGAUCAAGUGGCUUUGUACCAAGUCUAUCGCUAGGGCAAUUGUCGAGGUGCAAGGGCAAUCACCUAGACCAAAAAAGGUUAGGUCUAUCAUCUAAAGUCACCUAGUAUAUUUGACAACUAUGAGCGGUCAAGAGGCCUUUUUUCUUAUUUGCCAUAAUUCGCUACUCCUAAUCAUCGCUACUUAAAGAAGUUCCAUUCGACCAUUACGCAAGCAUGCAUGAUUUAAAUCAAUCCAUAAUGUUGUGCACACAUGUAUGCAUUAAAAAUGUAACUAUAAAUAUUUAUGUAAGUAUCGGCAGGGUCCAUGGAUAAUGUAUGCAUUAAAAAUGUAACUACAAAUAUUUAUGUAAGUAUGGGCAUGGUCCAUGGAUAGCCAUACACACACACAAAAAAAAAGUGAAUUGAUAAGUAAUAUUCCAUAUAUCUUUGACAAAAAUUCAUUUUCUGGAAUAAGCAACAGCUAUGAGAUACCGAACAUAAUAACCACCUUAAGCAAUUACCUAACAUCCCAAAACAAAAUAACACCAAAAACAUCAGCAUUAUAAAUUUUCAUCAAAGAAACAAUACUACUGAAGAAAAAAAAAAGAACACAAAUAGAAUGAACCAAAAGCAUAAACAAAUCUUAACUAUAUAUUAUAUCAAAGGACAUAUAGCAACAACUAGCAGGCCUACCAGCUGUAUGUGAUCAACAGGCACAAGUACACAUAUAAAAUACAUCAAUUACAGACAAACGGAGCUAUUUAUUACUCAAAUAGGCAUAUAUUAUAUCUAAGCGAGAAUCAGAGGAAUGCAUUUUAUAAACUUACUCAGAAAAGAAUGGCUAAAAGUUAAAAAAGAUAAUGCAAGGAGGUUCAGUAGAGGUGGUGUGUGCUUAUGCAUCCAAAACUUCAAAAAAAAAAAAGUUGCUAUUGCAUGGAUGUCAAAUGACAAGAUUGCAGAUUAAACUUCAGCCCAAUGAAGGAAUUACACUGAUUAUAAAAGAAUCAAAGCACCAAAAAAUGAGUUAUCUGCCAGAGUACUGGGAGUUUUCAUGUGAAUACAACAGCCAAAUGGUAAGAUCAAAAUAAUUCAAGACCUUCGCCAGUCCUUAUGUUAAUGGAAAGUUAAAUACAGUUUUUCUUAACAGCAAUACAAAUAUGAGAGAUAUUUGGAAAACCCUCAGUAAUCAGCUGUCAAUCUUGUACCUUGUUAAGAAAUUAAAUCAGCAAGCAAGCUGGAAACAAGCACAAAGUCUACUCAACAAAAAAUAAAGACCACAAAAUCUAAGAAAAGGCAAGUGGAUCAAUAUCACUCAGAACUAAGAGCAAUACUGGAAAUGAAUAAGUGAAAUAUGAAAAUAUCGGAUCGGGUGUUUGCAAGGUAUGCCGACAUAAUAAUCAAAUAGUUCCACUAUUCUAAAAUGUGAUGUUUAGGACUGCAUAUCUGUAUGCGGCCCCCUAACCACACUACUUACCCUAUUAUAUGCAGCUACUAUAUGUGCUCGGAACACAUGGUUGAAAGAUGGUUUGCCUAACACUUUGAGGACACAUAUGCCAGAGGAUUGGUAUUAUAUAGCUGCAUAUGCAGCCUACUUAUCAUUGUGUGACCACAAUGUAGGCCCAUGGGAAUAAAGUAUGUUCACGCUAAUGGUUGGGUUGCAUGCAGGUUUCAAGCAGGACAGCUAAAUGUAUAUUAACACUGUAAAAAUAUUGCUACUGUCAUUACAUAUAACAUAUUUAUUUAUUUUAGAUAUUUAAAAUACUAACUGCAUAAGUGUUUGCAUAUGCAACCUGCAAAAAUGCAUAUGCACUAUGCAGGCCCUUGACCACCUGCAUACGACAGCCACCUUUUAAAACAUCGACUAAGACAGAUGCAAUGAUGUAUAAGUCGAAACAAUUUUAAGCAGCCCCCCCCCCCAACCAAAAAAAAAAACCGGAAAAAUAACACAGACACACACACACACACAGAGGAAUUCAGUUUUGAGCAAGUUCCUAGUAUACCUUUUGCUUCAACUUUAAGUGGAGUACUCUUUAUUGGUGAUUUCUCAACCUUCUCCAAAGUUUUCUUCUUUUGUUCUUCCUGCACAGGUGCUUUUGCAGGCUUUGAUUUUCGGAUCAUAUCAAACAAUCCAUCCUCAGUAAGAAAGGGGAUACUGCAAAAGCACAAAAAAGAAGCAAUUAGGGAAAACCUGAGAACAUCCAAUGUCUUGGAGAUACUAGAAAAUCAAAGUUAUGGAGCACACCCCAACUCUUUGGCUUUUGAAGAUUUCCUUCCACCAAUGUCUUCAUCAGCUAGAAGGAAACUCUGUAAGCAAACCAUGCCAGUUAUAAAUAGAACAUGCAAACAUAGGAUACAAAUAAUAGCAAGAUACUGGGAUAAUUACUGUUUUUUUGCUGAUAGAUCCAGUGACCCGACCACCAUGGCGCUUAAUUAGAUCUUCUGCUUCUUCCCUUUCCAAACUGCAAGUUACAAGUAAAUGGUUUGUGUACAAAAAAAAUAUGUGGAAAAAUCGUGAUUUUCAAGUAACAUUUCCACUUGUUGAUCCAAAUAUCAGGCAAACCCUUAUCAUUGCUAGCAAAUUACCUGUCAAGUGUGCCACUUAUAACAAAAGUCAGACCAGCUAAACAUUCAGGAGCACCCUCUGGUACUUCCUAAAAUAGCAAGACAGCAAUGAUAUUUCAGAGUAAAUAAACAGAUUGUGUUAGUUCCAUCAGAUUGUGUCAUGCUUUUCAUUAAAUCACCUUCUCUCCUUUGUGUGGUGGAUCCUUCCUCUCACCAAAAUUCAUGAACCCACCUCUCCCACCACCUCUGCCUCUCCCUCCUGCAGCAGCUCCUGCUCCUCUUCCACCCCUGCCUCUCCCACCAGCUUUAACCGGAGUCUCAACAUAUUUAUCAUCAAGCUCAUCUUCAUCAUAAUCAACAUCAUUCUUAUCAACGGAAUUCUUAGAAAUUCCUCCACUUGAUCUACUGUUCAAUUUCUUGGAGGGUUUGACCUCAGCUGCCUUUUUCCUGUCAUUGGAUGGCACAAAAUCAUCAUCUUCAUCCUUGUGAAACUUCUUUGCAGGCACUGGUUUAACAUCAUCUUGAAAAUCCUCGGUAAUUUUUUGGGCCUUCCUCUUUGCAGGUGAUUUUUCAGUGACCUUUUCAUCUUUUGUUGUUUUUUUAGAGCUUGAUUCUGUUGCAGUGGUAGUUGCAAAGUACUUGCUAGUUUUUCUUCUACCAGAAUUCUCUUGAGCUCCUUGCACCUGGGUAUCCCACAAGAAAGUCCAAAUGCAAUGCUUGCAUUAAGAUGUACUAACAAAACCUAGAUAUCCAGGUACAGCAUUACUGUAAGAAAGUGUAACUAUUAUUUCAGAAACAGAUUCAAGCAUGUUCUUUUGAUCAGAUAUUUCCACAUUAGAAUGGCAUUUAACACAUAUAUUCAUCUUGAUGAAUUAACCUUUAAAAAAAAAUCUUGAAAUCAGAAAAUAUGCAUUUCUUGAGUUCUUCACCGUCCUUUUGAAAAGAAAAAUAAACUUAGAUUGGAUACCAAAUUCCAACAGAUUCCCAAGUAAUAUAGAGGAAACUAUUGAAUCUGAACUGAAAGCUCAUUUCUAUAAUUGUCUUUUGUUGACAAGAGCUGAUCCUGGAAAUCACCCAUUCUUUGUCUCUAUUUGCCAAAAGCCCAGAACAAGGAUCAAGGACGAGAGCGUUACCGAUUUGUCUAAAACAGGUGCAGGCGGCUUCUCAGAAGCAGCCAUCGCAGGCUUUGCCGCAGGCUUGGAAGCAGUCCCGUUCCCCUUGUCAUGUUGCUUCAUAAACCAUUUCCUUAUAUCCGACGACUUCAUCAACCCAAAACCAAAAGCCCAAUUUUUCGAAAAAGAAAAGAAAAGAGCAAGCAAAUUUAGUGGUUAUUCCAGAUAGUGAAAAAAGAAACAAGAAACCCUAAAACCCAACUCACCAUGUUCCGGAAUCGUGUCCGCCCAGUAUUGAUCUAAUGCGAGUAUGCCGUCCAAAGCUCUGACCUAACUCAGAAGACGAGGCCAACCAUCAUCCAGAUCGAAUCUUUUGCACCGGAACUAGGGCGCGGUGUUGUCCUGCGACGAGUAAAGAACAUCAGACGCUAAAAAUCGCUGCGGAGGUGGGGGGCCCAAAAAGAAGAAAGGAAUCUAGGGUUCUUGACGGGAAAGGGAGAAACAUAUGGCCGGAACGCCGUCGGAAAGCAACAAAACACUCCAAAGAUCAAAUCUUUUCAACAGAUACAAUGAUAUUGUGGUUUUGAGAACGCAAUAACGAUCAAGAAACGUGAAAUCUAGCGCGGGGGGGGAAUUAAAACCGAAAGAACGAAUGAAUGAAUGAAAAGGAGUGGGGGGGGCGGGGAGGGGUAAGAAAUUAAAACAGAAAGAAAGAAAGAAAGAAUGAAAGGGAGAGAGCUGGCUAGGAUGGGAAAAAAGGAAGAGUAUGGACGGAAUGUAAUCAAAAGUAGGGCAUGACAUUUCGAUCGAGGGAUCAAUUAUUCCUACCGAAUCAGACUGCGAUCCGUUUCUUGUUCGUUUUCCUGGGAGGGAGAGAGGAUUGGGAUUGGGGGAUACUAGUGCGAGUAGGAGAGGGGGAGUGGAAGGGGGAGGAUGGGGUUACUGCUACCCUUCAUCAUCAAGCUCGGGGUACGAAUCUCGAGGCGCUGAUUUUGGUGUGUAGGGGACGGGGACGGACGGAUGCUGCUGCGGCACACGAGCGUGUCGUGUGUACCCCGGAGGCCGCCAAAGCUUGUUCGGGAAGGGGACGGGAUCGGAUCCGUGUCGGAUCUUUCCAGAUUUUAAACGCGGCUCACCUUAGACGAGUUUGGAAAUUGGAUCUGCAAAGAAAUUUAUUAUUAUUUAUACACGUGCGACAACAGAUAUUAUUAUACUGCUCAUGCGGUUGCUGCUUCUUCAUCUGUUUACCCAUGGGUGCAGCCAACAAACCAGGAGGAAAAAACAAAAAAAUAGAGGAUAAGACAUAGACAUCUUGUCUUUCCAAGUAAAAUCUUUAGAAUGAUGAGCUGCGAAGGAGGCCAUACAAUCAGCAGUACUAUUUGCCUCAAUAUGAUUUCAUUUUGCUUGAUUCCAAAACCAUAAUACAGAAGAAGAAAGAUAAACUUAGAGCCCUUACAAAACUUUAAAAAGAUUAAUAAAAUUUAAUAUAGAUAUUUUUUGGGACUUAUGAAUAUUUUUUACCAAUUGGAAAGACUCAUUCGAAUUUACACAAGAUUUUUAAUUCCUGCCAGACCUCGAAUAUUUUUGCAAGCUUUUUCCCAUCUAAAAAGAAGAAAGAAAAGAAAACUCCUGCUCCUACUUCCCAUCUAGUUAGAUCUCACAAGAUCGGAAUUUUAAAAACGUUGAGUUCCUACACAUACUCAUUGAACUAUUUUUUUUAUUUCUAUUUUCGUUUUUAUGAUGAGAUAUGUCAGACCCCUACUUCUCUUGUGAUGCCCAUUGCUCUUUACUUUGCAGAGAAGAAGAUUUGCAGUCUUUUUCUCCUUUGCCCUCCCACCAGCCGAGGUAGGUCUAGGGAUUUCCAUCUCUUUCUAUUCUUUGUCUCUUUUUUUCACUUUCUAAUUCUAUUUGCAAUAUAUACUGCGAUCUGUAUAUCAUCUACUCUUACAAAGCCCAUCGCCAUGCUCUUUAUUUUGUGCAGAAGAAGAUUUAUGGUCUCAUCCUCCCUCAUCCUCCUCCUAGCCGAGGUGCGCACGAGGGUUUUUCUCUCUCUCUUUUCUUUAUCUUCUUUUCUUCGCUUUUUCCUUCUAUAAUCUCUUUAUCAUGUUAUAUUAUUUAUGAACAUGUUAAAUAUUCAUAUUAAUAUAUAUUCUUAUAUUAACAUUUAUAUAUAAUAUUUAGUAUUAAUAUGAAUUUAAUAUUAUUUAUGAAAAAAAAAUAAAUUUUCAUAUUUAUUUAAGUUCUUAUAUUAACAUUUUGUAUUUAAAUANNNNNNNNNNAAUAUCAAUUUAAUAUUAUUUAUGAACAAAUUAAAUAUUCAUAUUAAUAUAAGUUCUUAUAUUAACAUUUAAUAUAGAAGUUAAAUAAAUAUUUUUAUUAUUUUAAAUACUUCUUUAAUAAAAAAAAUUUAAGAUAAAAUUAAUAUGUACUAAUUAUAUUUAAAAUUUAAUAUUAUUAUUUAAUAUUUAAUAGUAUUCCAAAUAUUUAAUUAUAAAUUAUAGUAAUAGUUUUUUUAAUAAAUAAAUAAAUAAAAUUUUUUGUUCAUAGAUAUAAACCUUAGUUUUAUAUUUGUAGUUGCCAUGCUAUAGAAUUUACGAUUAUUUCAUGUUUAAUUUUUAACGUUUUAGUAUGUGAGAUAAUAUAGUUGUCAUGCGGCAUAAGUUUAUUCACAUAUCAUAUCAUACUCGAAUUAUUAAAGGUAUGCUUUAAUUUUUUGAUGAUUUAUUCAACUCAUGUGUUAAAAUUUACCUCAUUUAAUAUUUAAAUAGAGAUCCAACUUUAAUAAACUAUUAGCUGCUCCAUAUUCAAUUCAAUGUCAAAAUAUCAUUAACAUCUAAUGUUAAUGUUAAAAUAACAUUUAAAGAUAGUGGUAUGUUGUUAGAUGAAUAUUAUUUGAUAUACAAUUUAACUAAUUUGUGGUCGCAUUGACCUUUGAAUGCCACAGUGAAAAAAUAAAAAAUCCUCAUCAACCAAUUAUAUAUGACAAAAUUUCCAAAGAUAUAGAGCAAAUGGUCCUAAACCAUGUAGGACCAUCAAGCUAUUUAUGUAGCAAAUAUCAUACAAAUUGAUGUUCAUGAAUUAUUAAUUAUUUCAAGCUAAUUAGACUUACAAAUAUGAGUUCUCAAGCUAUAAAUAAGAAACAAACUAUGUCACUUAUUACAUAACAAGACAAAAGAAUAAGGCUAAAUAUGUUGAUUAAUAAAAAAAUAAUGAUUCAACAAAUAGUAUUAAACAAUUACAAGGGAUAACACAUGUAUGGCAAUAUUAUGUCUUGAAAAUGAAAAGGAUUGGUAUCUAUAAUGAAACUAAUGACGCUGAUGGAGGUCAAAUUUUAUAAUAUCAUGUUCUAAAAAGUGUGGAUGAAAAGAGAAAAUUGUUAAUAGAAAUGAAGAAAAUAUUUGUAAAAGUAAUUUUAGUGGCAUCCGUUGUGAAGAAGGGGUAUUAAGAGUUGUAUCUGGUUAUUGAUGAUUCAUAUGAUGAGUAGAGGAGAUCAAAAGGAAAAGAAAAAGUAUGAUGGGUAGAAGUUAACAUUAGGGGUGGCAAAAUAUGACCCGACCGGCCAACCCGACCCGUGUUCGACCCGCCAUAAACAGGUUUGGGUUUGGCCUAAACAGGUUCGGGUCGUAAACAGGUCGACCCGUUUAACCUGUUUAUUAAUUGGGUCGGAUACGGGUUUUAGAUGUCUGACCCGUUUAAACCGUUUAACCCGUUUAACUGUUGGGCAGGUUAAACAGGUCUAAACAGGUUAAACAGGUUAAACGGGUUAAACGGGUUAAACAGGUUAGACAGGUCUAAACAGGUUAAACGGGUCUAAACAGGUCGGGUUGGGCAGGUUAAACAGGUCGGGUUGGACAGAUUAAACAGGUCUAAACAGGUUAAACGGGUCAGGUUGGGCAAACAGGUUAAACAGGUCGGGUCGGGUUGGGUAAACAGAUUACCUAUUUAUUUAACAGGUUAAACGGGUCGGGUCGGGUUACCUGUUUAAUAAACAGGUCAGGUUCAGGUUUGUAAUUCCUGACCCGUUUAAUAAACAGGUCGGAUUCAGAUUUAUAGUUUUCUGACCCGACCUGUAUUUGACCCGACCUGUUUAUGCCUGACCCGACCAGAUUGCCACCCCUAGUUAACAUGUCUCCUAUUAUCUAUCUUGAGGUUAAUUCGAAUAUAUCUGAUAUUAAUGAUGAUGAGUAUUGUAUUAAUAACAUAAAUAUUAAUUUUCAUGAAUGAGAUAAAGUAGGUAAAUGUAGCCUGUAUUCAUUUCCAAGAAUUAUGGGAGAAUUUGGUGGAUCAUCAAACUUAUAAUAGGAAGGAGAUAUUAAUCAAGGUAACAAAAUCAACUACAAUAUCUUACAUAAUAUAAUAGUCUUAUGUAAUCAAAAACUAAAUCUAAUUUUCUUUUGCUUUAUCAGAUAAUUCAGAUAUCUAUAUUGGAUUAAGAGUGCCUUGAAAUAAUGAUGACCGCUUUCAAAUAGUUAGAAAAUGAGUUUUUACCGAGAUAUGAGGUUUUGGAGAGCCAAAUUUUGUUUGUCGUUAUUGUAGUGCUUUAAUGUGAAUUGAAGAAAGGAGUAGCAAUAGUUCAAAGAGUGAUCUAAUGUUCUUUUUGUGCUGUCAAAUUGGAAAAGCAUUGCUACCAUAAAUCUAUGAGAAUGAUGAUUCAAUAUUUAGAUUCUUUGACAUAAUUUGUAACAUCGAUAGUACAUGUCGGUUAUAUGGAUUAAUAUUUUACUAAUAAUUUAUUAUUAAUGCUUGCUUAUAUUUAUAGGGAUUGUACUAUUGAAUUUUAGUGACUAUCAUUCACAUUGAUCUAGAUAGAGAUUUAUGGUACAACUCCUGCACAAUUUGCAAUACGAAGGUACGCAACAUUGCAGGCGCUCCGAGGUGCUACUUUUGUCAAAAGGAAAAUCCGAUCAACAUCAUUAAGAUAAAAAAUCUACUUUCUACUAAAUAUAAAAAAGUAUGUACUAAACAUUUUAUUUUUCGAUUAUAAAUAUUUGAUACAUAUUAAAAUACAUGAUCAUACUGGAGGAAUUCCUUUAACCAUUUUUGAUAGAAAUACGGAAGUUUUGAUGGGAAAAUCUAUAAACAAAUGCUACAAUCUAUACUUAGAGAUAUUUCAACCAUGAAAUUUUAUAAAUAGGUAAUGUUUGUGGUAACAAUUAUAUUAAAAUAAUAUUUCUGCCUAUAUUAUAUGUGGAUGGACCAAUAAAGCUAGAAGAAUUUGUUGAAAAAAUACUAUAUAAAUGCUACAUUUUUGUUUUAAUAACAAACAACAACAACUCAUCUACAAGGUCUAAUUGGGCUAUAUACAGCAUAUUUCAAACAGAUCCUAUUGAAGAAAGUCAUUCUCUUCUACAGCUUACUAUCCAAUAUAGUCAAUCUAACAAAACUAUUUUUCUACUUAUUUAUUUAAAUCCUUUACAUAUUACUAAUUUUUUUCUCUAUUUUUUCGUGCAUUAAAACAAUUGCUAGAUGAACCCUCUAAUCAAAAUGAAGACAACUGCAUAAGUUCAAAAGAGAAGGUAUCAGGAUCUUCUGCAUCAAAUCUAAAAGGAACGGAUGUCUCAUGUCUCAAUAUAAGCAUAUAUUUUUUCUAUCCUACUACAAAUGUUCAUGUAUUAUAUUUAACAAUUUCUCUUUCUAUUAUUAAUGAUCUUUUGAAUAUUGAGAUGUUGAUAGUAAAAUUGUCAAGAAUUAUUAAAUUUAUUUUAUUUCUAAUAUAUUUUUUAUUCUUUUAUUAUCAUUGAAUUAUAUUUCGAUUUUCAUUAUCUCCCCACGCAUCAUGCAUGUAUCAUCUUUGUAGAUCUCUAUUGAACUCUGUGGUUUCAACUCUAAUAGAUAUAUAUUCUAAAGGGAUGGGUGGGUGGCUUCCUGGUCUCGUUACCCCAUCGAUUUGGAUUAUACUGACCUAGCAUUUUCUUUUUUUGGGUAAAAUGGAUGAUUUAGAUUAACCUAGCCUUUUCAAUAUAUACUCUUCACACAUGAAAAAUAAAUGAAUAAUUUUUUUUGGCAACACAACCUCAUUGAAUCAUGGUAUACCUUGAAACAUUUAUUAUUGUUGCCGUUGCUUUUGAGACCAAUUAGCCUUCUAAGUAAACGCUUCAAAUGCUCAGGAUAUUUCCAUUAUUUUGGUCUUUCAGAACAUGGUAGGUGGACAUGUUUUCCAUGGUAAAGAAUAAUUACAGGAUAAAAUAUAGAAGAAAUACUCAACGACGAGAACAAAAGGAAAUUAUUUUCUGUCAAAGCUGUUGAUUUUUGGUGAACAAUUAAAAUUGUCAUAUGCAUUAAUAACUUCUGGAUUGCAUGGAAUCGGCAAAAAAAUUAAAAUGAUACUGAAUUAAAAAGGAUUUUCAUAACCCCAUUCCCCUUGUAUGACAACGGUAACCAUGUAUUGUAGCAGAUUAUGGGAAUAGCCAUAAAGUCCAUGAUAAAGAUAUCUUUAAAGAAAAUGAAUAAGAAGACCCAGAUACAAGCUGUUAAAUUGGAAUAUGGAUGCAUAAAAAAAAAAACCCUAUAAAUCAUAUCACUGAAACACCUACAUGUACAAGUGUAUAUACGUAUGCAUAUAUGAUGUAUCUAUAUGUGUAUGUAUGAAUGCAUCGUAGCAGUCACAUUCAUUACAUGGCAGCUAUUUUAAUGGCAUAAUCUUUAUAAAUGGCAGAAACACAACCUCCCCAAAGCAGGUUUCUGGUUGUAUCUUUUCUGCAAAAGAAUGAUUGAUCUCCCUUCGCAGCAUCAACUGCUGGAUCAUGCCUCGUACAGAUCUCAAAGCACUCCAAACUCGCUCUUUCAUCUGUUUGCACAGAUCUUAUGACAGCUGCAGGACAAUCCGACGGUGCACGUCACGAAAAAAAAGGAUGAAGCAGGUUCAGCCUGCAUAUACAGCAUUAAUUUGAAGUAGAAAAUGAUGGCCAGAUUGGCCAGACUACCAGUCACUUCAAGUGAGACUGCGAAAGGGGCAAGGCAGCUUGUACCAGGAAAGUUUCCAGCAAGAAGUGCUCUACCAGCUCCAAUCUGAUUUGAGCUAUAGUAAUCAGCAUAGACAGAAAAGCCUGGCUUCUAGGCAAUAUAAUCAACUCACUCACAUCCAAUCCAAAAUCAUUAUCAGCUUCCAUCAACACAUAGGAGGCUAAUAUACAUGACUCAAAACACAAAAAUAAUCAAAUAAUAUACAUUACACCGACUUAUGUCCAUCAAAACAAUAUCCGCUCAGGAAACAAUUAAAUGCAUAAACAUGAAAACAGCAUCAUACUUUCCAGGAAGCACAAACCUCACUAUUCACAAAUGUGCACAAACAAAUAUAUAGGACAGGAGGCUCAAUUCGUCAACCCUGAACUGAAACUUCAUUGGUAGCAAUUCCAGGAUUAGAAAAGUUAAGGAUAGCUUGAGCUUCCUCAGUUGUGUUCUGCGGAAUGGCUUUAGCUUCUCCAGUUGUUUCCUCUGGAAUAGCUUUAGCUUCUUCACUCAUGUUCUCCAGAAACACAGACUCAACUGCUACGCCUGCUUCUGGAUGAGGGACUUCCAUUGAUUUGUCAUCAUUCUCUUCGACCUUUGGUUUCUCAAUUUUGGGCUUUUGGUUUGAGACUUUUGGCUUUGUGCCAAGGGGCUUGGUCUCAGGCUUUGCAGCUGUUGAUUUCUGAGAUGGCAUCCUCGAAAGUGAUUUCUGAGUCGGUUUCUUCAAGGCUGUGGACGCUCCUUUAUUGUUUGCUGCACCUUCCUUUGACUUGCUUGUGUCAGAAGCAGGGUGUGGGCUGACACUUGAACCUUCAGAAGGGUUGUCUGUGGCAGCAACAGAUGGCUUGUUCCGUCCCAGCUUUGGCGAUCUAGGACGUGUCGGUGGGAUCUGUUAUGCGAUCAAACAAUUAGUAGCAGUAUAAAACAAUCAUGUUCUUGCAACAUACAUGCAGCUUUAUCUAAACAUGGAUGCGCACAAUGUCAAAAUAUAAGCACACGGCAACAAGCAAUACAUGUUCAUGUAAUCAUUAUGAACACAAAGCUUCUAAGAGCACCUACUACUUGUGCAAUAAUUAAUAAGAGAGAUGAGGAACAACCUAUAGCAUGAUUUUAAAGAAAAAAUUUGAAAUAUGCUAGAUGAAGGGUCGAGAAGUGCUAAGCAAUCAAGAAAAUUCUAGUUUUUUUUUUUCACGGGCUGAAAACUUGGUUGUAAGCCUCUUCAGGGUUAUUGGCGUACUCCAUUAGUAGUAAUAAAAGCUGCUAAACACAUCAGGGUUGCUGUGACAAUAUCAAAUUUCAAGUGCUGCAGCAAUCAACACCCUACACAUUAGCACAACAACUACUAAUAUCUUGUUUAUAUUUUUAUUCAAAACAACUUUUUUUUUUGCUUUGAUAUGGAAUACCACAGAUGCAAGAACUGCACAUGCCCUGACAGCAGGUUAUUGCUUUUGGUACCAGCAAAUGGCAACAAAAACCCAAAUCAUUGAAAAACAUGACGAAGUGUAAAUUCAGAGGAGAAACAAUGUUUGUGAUGAUUAUGAAUAUUUGGUUUCAAUUUUCACGCCAAUACUCAUGUUACAUGACUUUAUCAGCCAUGCCAUUUAUGGAUUUCAUUGACCAGCUAUCUGAAGAGAGAAUAAAUAUUCUACAAACCUCAUCCUACUAAAGUUGAAAGGUUCUCAAUUCAAUGAUUUCAAAUUAGAAGUUCAAUAUGGCUUUGGAGUUGUUAUAUGUAAGGACAUUAUCAAAAGCAUGCAGCACUCUCACGUACCAUCAUUUUCAAAAUACAACUAUAAACAGCAAAUCUUAACAACUAUAUGGAGUCUAUAUUAUGGAUCGAGAUAUAUGCUACCGGAAUUUGGAAAGCCUUUGUGAAGCAGCUCUCAACCUGACAUCAUCCAAUUAUGAAUUGGUGCCAAAUUUUUGGCCAAGGCUACCCUGGGUGAAACAACCUUAAGGGUGAUUAUGAUGCAUUUGUAUUUGUUAAGCAAGAUGCCUCUAGGACUUUCUUCAUUUGCAAUGGCGCUUCCAAACUAAUCGCAAUUAGGAUGUUACAUCUCACCCACAAUCAUCAUCAUCAUCAUUGCUUACAGAAAGAGGAUAGCAACAACAAGAAACAGCGGUUGGCUGUUGAAGGGGGUACUUAUAUGAAAGACGAUAGGAGAGUGAUCAUGAAAGUGUGGACAACAUGGACAUGAAGGUUAGGGAUGAUGGCUGAAGAGUAAUGAUAACGGUAGGAGCAUUUAAUGGCGAAAGACUUUCAGAAGCUAAUAUACAAGCUGAAGACAGAGGAAGGGAGUUGGGGGAGAGUGGCUGCACUACUCAUAAAAUUAAAUUGGGACAACAAGAGAACAAAAUUAGAUAUUUCAACAUGUCUAUUGAACCACGUAAUUGACCAACUGUAUUGCUGAUGGUACUACCUAGUGCUGAUACAAACGAUCAAACUGGCUGAUCAUUAUACGAAAAGACUUCUGGGCAUCAAGUCUUGCAAAUCAUAGGGAGGAAAAAUCGCGUUACACAUCAAACACUGCAAUCAGAGCGGACAGCGGAACAAACCUUGGAAACUUUAGAGAACAAUAGAACAUAUUUUCCGACACCAAGUUCAACAGGUUUUCUGAUCAAAAUAAGUCUAAAAUGCGUAGUGCUGAAUGCGUUAAUAUGGAGUUGAAGGGGCUAGGUGAAAUAUAAAGGGCAAGGUGUAACCCAAAAUAUAUAAAAUGAUACUCAUGUGAGAUUACUAUUUGCCUGUAUGUUUUGUCCAAGUAACUGCGUCCCCUUGAUAACAUGUCCAAACUUAAAAAAACUUAAAAUUUCAAUGGUGGCCAAAUAUAAAGUACCCCUCCAACUGUUAAAUUUAGGAAGUUAAUGAAUGCUCAUGUUGACCAACUCCAAACACUAAAUUUGGUCAAAUGAUUCACUUCAGAGUGUAUAUGUUACACCAUAUUAAACCAAGAUAUACAAGGCCUAAAUUGGAGAUGAAGAAGCUUAAGCAUAUGCAUUAUGCCACAUGUUUUUGGACGCCAACAUGUUUGCAGCCAUAGAAUGCAUAUCUUUCAAUUAAUAUUUAUAUAAACAUUAAUCAAAUAUCAGUUCAACUUCUGCCAAAAAGUCCUAUCUACUGUUUCAUUUAACUCUAAAAAUUUUGACAUCAUGACUUGAACUUCUCAAAGACACUCACUAGUUAUAACAUAUGAAUGAGAGUUGUCAGUCUGCAUUAGGAUAUCUAUCCAGAAUUAAGUUUCCUAAUUUGUUUAUUCACUUGGUACAGACUCAGGUUUGUAAUUCAAAAUUCACUGCCAACUAAUGAGCCCAAUAUGAUAGAUGUAGGAUUAGACAAUAAAUUUUGUAAAAGUAAAACAAAUGUAUUCUAAUUUUGAUUAGGAUUUUUGGCUGUUGGAAUCCAACAUCAUUACAAAAUUUGAGUGAGAAAAAACUAAACCCUUUGAUCAGUAAAAAGUGAUAAAUAAUACAUGUGAAAAAUUGAGGUUUAUACAGCCGUUGAGAUUUAUAUAGGACUAACAUGUUUUGUUUCCAAAUUACUUACCAUCUGAGAGCUUUUACAAAGGAUAUUCUCCCACUUUCACACAUUAUCCCUCGUCGGGCCUCCUACUUAUCUCCCACCCACAGAAAAUCUCCUACUAUUUUAGAAUCCCGUUCUCGGCAGCUUUUAAACAAUUUAGUUCCAUAAUGUAAGCAUCACAAACUCUCCAUAACAAAGCACACCUCAAACUUUAUCCAUUGAAAGAAAGUUAAAUGUUUUCUUUAUUUUUCCAUCUUUCGUAUUAGAUCAAAUUGUAUUGCAAAUCCAUUUGAAACAUCUUCUUGCAAAACAAUUAUGCAACUAGCAAUUUAGGUAACCCUGGUUAAGAAACUCACCAAAUCAUUUACUAAUGCUAUAUUUUUUACUUCAAUAUGUUUUGAAGCCCUAGAAUGCAUACCUUUUAGAUCAACAUUCAAGUUUAUUUUUAGUGAGAAAUCAAUCUGACUCCCAACUAAGAGCCCUAUCCUUUAUUCUGUUUAAAACUACAAAAUUUCUUCAUGGUUCAAGAGUACUAAGUCAUCGGUUUGAAUUUAAGCACUAGAACUAGCACAUCAAUCAGCACUACCAGUUGCCCCAGAAUAUCACACUAUCAAAAAAACCCAUGAAAUCAUGUGUGAUUGCUAUGCGAUGCCCAUAUAUCACUUAUUUUUGCAAUGCAUAUUUCUCUUGACAACAAAAAGCAGAAAUCAAAUGUUAUGCAGAGUUGAAAACAUAUCUGAUGCAACAGAGAUGGACUGCUUGACUUGUUUUGUCAAUCUUAAAGAAGAUGAAAAGGUAUCCACCUAACUCUUAAUCUUAAACAAGAAUAGAAGGUAUCUCCAAAUUAUGCUUGGCUACACAAAUAUGAGAAAGCCCAAGAUUUAUUUCAAAGUGAUUAAUAUAAAAAGAAAUGCAACAAUAUAGUACAGUUAGUGUUGUUUUUAAGCAUCAGUUAUACUACAUUUGGUGUUCCCACAUAUCAAAUUUAAGUUGUAGAUGGUGAAAAUGCACCUACUCAUGCAUGCACAAUGGAAAGAUAAAAGGGAAAAGAAGAAUGACUAUGGAACUACCUUCUUUAAUUCAGCUUUUGGAGGACCAGGUUCUUGAUAAAAGCUUGGCAUUGGUGUGGCUUUAAAAGUCAAGCUCUUCCUCAGCUGUCUGAUCUCAGCCUCCUGGCUUUCCUGUAUUAUAGUAUUUCUAGAGAACUUAGUUAAUAGGUAUAUACGGAAAAGCUUUCAAGAACAAACAAGAAAUACUUCAAUGUUUAUAUGAGCACAUUACCUUAGAUUUUGCUUGCAAGUUAGUCUUUUCCAAUUCCUUCUGAUGGAUCUUCUCCUCUAAUUUCAAGAAAAACUGAGAAACCAAUAUCUAUCACUUCUCUGGCUGCUAAGAGAAAACAUACCACAAAGAAGCACGAAUUCAAUCUAUUGACUGACCUCCUUGCGUUUCUCGGCACGCUCGUCCAACCUGAAGUUAAAAACAGAACCAGUGCUCUUUCGUUGGGCUGUUGCACGAGGAGUGGUGGUACUUCUGGAUAAGAAAUAUCGGAAGCCUAAAGACCAAUUUCUAGAACAUAUAUAGAGAAAGUCCGAAUUGAGAAAUGAAUGGACAAGCAAGCAUGAAACGUUACGAGGUAGUGGAGUGGGCAUCAUCAUCAUUUUUUGCUGGUAAGGAGCGUCUCGAGGGCCUUGUAUUUCCAUCAUGUGAUCUGUCAAACCAAUUUGGUCAAGUGGGAUAGUCAUUCAAUUAUAGAAGGGAACUGGGAUGGCAAACUAUAAAGAUCGAAAUGCAUGAUGGAUGUCCUGCACUGGUGGUAUUAUGCUUUUACUAUUUGAUAUCUGUGUGCAUAUGUCAGGCUUUGGACUUUGACCGACAUCAUACCUGUUAAAUAUUUACUAUUACCAUGUUUCUCAUGCAAAUCUAAUUUAUCUGCUGAACACCGCGGCCCCAUACAAAAAGUUACCGAACAUUUAAUGAUCUCUACAAACUUCAUUACUUUUAUAGCGCAUUAGGAGAGAAACAACUGAAGGAAAACCACUAGUAAAGCCUGCUUCAUAGAGAAGAACUUACUUCACAGCUUCAGAAGAAGUACCAUUGAUGGUUGCGUCCACCAAGCCAGAUUUCACUUUCUGGUUUCAAGGAUGGAUUGGAAAGGGUCAGUAAAACAGGAGGAUGCCAUGAGCCAAAUGCAACAUUUAUUCAGAUUCUGAAGUCUUUCUUUAACAAAGAGCAGUUUGUCAGCCUGCAUUCAGAGACUCACCAAUGACUGCUGAGUACUGCAUUCAGCAGCGAAGUUAGAUUGCUUCGAAGGAAGCUCACCUGCAUUUCAGCCCACAAAAUUAAGCAUAGAAGAAUGUGUACUGCCAGAGUGUAUCAAAUGAAAGAAAGAUGAAAGCAAACAAUUGGUAAUUAAGGGUCGAACUUUGGAGCCAUUUGAGCCCAAACCUUUUACAUCUGCUUUCCCCUGCUUCACAGGAGUGGUGCUCUUCCUCAGACUGCUGGCAAGAGUACCUCCGGCAGGGAAUGAAAGGCUCUGUGAAAGGCUAGGUUUUUUGUUUCGUGAUUCUACAGGGGCACCAUUCUGACCACCUCGAUCCUUCUGUGUUUUAACACUCUUCAAUCGAUUGCCUCCAUCAGAUCCAGUUCUCUACAAAAUAAUUCAUCUUUCGUCACCUGAUUUACAUUUCCCACUGAGUUGGAAACAAGAUGGGCAAGAAGAAAGAAACAGCAGUCUUAUACCUUUGAAAGAUUCGAGGCUUUGUUUGCCACAAUAGCCUCAGAGCCUUCAUUCCCUCGUCCGGAUGACUUAGGACCAUCUUCUUUAGAUGGAUCUCCGACCAGGACACCGCUAGCUUGUACAGCAUCAGCACCAUUUUCAAUAACUUCAUUCUUCUCGUUUACGUUUACAUUUGAACUGAAUUCGUUGGCCUCUGGAGCUUUUGCCAAAGCCCCAUUCUCGAGCUUCAGUUCAACUCCAUUGCCAGCCUCCAUCGCACUACGGUGGAAAUCUAGAACCAACCAGCUACCGAACUCUGCAACCGUUCACUUUAAAAAUCACAUCCUUGGCACAAGCAUAAGCCUUAAUAACUACGUGAUAGCUGGAAACAUGUUACAAAUCUAACAAGAAACCAAGAUUCUACUUCUAAUAUUCUCCUUCUGUUUCUACUAGACCGGUUCCCAACUUCCGUUACUGAAUGCGCCUCCAAUAUGCUUUCAAAUCGAAAUCGCACUCGAGAUGAUCCGGCAUCUGAAGCUAAUUCUAGUGAAGCGGACCAGCAUAACGUUAAAAAAAGGUCAGCAUUUUCGAAAGAUCUACAUCGAUUUCUCCAUGAAAAAAGAUAGAUCCCGACUAAAAAACACUCGCGGUUGAUUAAAAACGCCGCCUCUCUCGAAUCGGCAUGGAGAACUCCAAAAAAAAUCGAGAAACACAGGAGGCGGAAGCAGAUCAAGAAGAGUAGGAAGAGAUCCCGCCAUACCUACGGAGCUCAACCACUGAAUUCAGCUUCAGGAAGAGAAAACCCUCGAGCGAUUAGCGAAACAAGCGAGAGCCGCCAUGAUCUGAACUGACCCGGAGAGAUCGAAGCGCCGGAAGUCGGAUCCAGUAAAUCCGAGAUGAUCCUCUUCUCGGCCCCCUCCCUCCGCGUUGAGAUCGAGCAACGGCGAUCUCGGAGACCCCGAUUCGGCCGCCGGCGAUCUGCGAUUCGCUUCGCCCCUCUCCACCCCUCUCCCAAGACGACAAAAAGGUCGGGCGAGAUUUUUUUAUUUCAAACAAGAGAUAAACGAUGCCCCUCCCGUCGCGACGCCGGGGUAUAUACGUAGGGUGGGGGGGAGCGAAGCCUAAAAAUAACGGCCGUUGUAACAGUGCAACGGCUGUCGACCUGUGGUGGCUGUAAGAACUGCCGCCGUGAGAACAGCCUGUUCCGCUAAAUAAUCAUACCGCCUUUCUAAAUAGCCAUAAUUUAUUGGUUGUUGCCACGUCACUUCACCCAAGAAGACACGAUUUGCCAGCUGCGUGCGGAUGCCGAUCGCAUGGGUACGGGAUUUGGAUCCGAUGGAUGAGUCGAGAUGGGAGACGCAAGGAAACCCGUCGCUGGUUGGAAACCCUGGUACCAUGAGCAUAGGGAAUUAUUGCAACUUGAUAUUUUCGCUACCCAUCUUCAGAAAUGUCAUGUUUAAAUUAAAUCUUCAAUAUGGCUGGAAUGUUUUUGUUAGGGUUCGGAACCUUCACAACUUCUAAAUGGUACCAUUAUGGAUAGCCAUCUUAAAAAUAGAUAAUAUUUAUUUAUUUCUAAAAUAUGACAAAAUAUUGUUAGCACAAUAUAGGGUGCAUACGAUGAUUAAAAAAAAUAGCCUAUGUUUAAGAUGGAUGAUGUGGAGAUGGAAGGGAAUCCUUUAAUUUUUUGUAAGCUCUAUUUCAUAUUUAUGUUUUUAUUUUUAGGAUAAGGCUUAAACAAUGACUGCACUACUUUUUAUCCAAAUAAUAAUAUCCAUAUGAGAUUAUCUAUUUUUAUUGUACUGAAAAUAAAAGCUAUAAUUAAGACAUAGCUAUUUAUUUACAAGUAUUUACACAUGACAAAAAAAAUAUAGCAUUUUUUAUUGGCGAUCAAAAAUAGCAAAUGCCGUUUGAAAUCAUCCAUGCUAAUUGUUUAUUGAAUAUGAUGAUUUGGAUUCAUUUGUAAGCACUGAUCUAUAACUAAGAAAUAGUAAAAAAAUAACAUCAUUUCCAUGCUGAAGGCAUUCAUCAGGCAUAUAUUACGGAUGAAGGAGAGCUCGAUGUCAAAAUUUUUGCUUUUCCAUCCGAUCAAAACAAGCCAUGUGGAUUAAGUUUGAUUUUGAUUCAACCAAAGUAUAUAAAAAUUAUGUAACUCUUGCUAAGCUUGAAAAAAGUUCCAUCGUGAAAAUCAUACUAAGGAUAAAGACUCAGGCCAAGCAAAUAGAAUUUAGCCAUAAUAUAAAUGAGCGGAUAGAAAAAUCAAGUCUUGGCCAUAAAAGAAGGUCGAUAGAAGACCAAGAUGAUCCCAAAUUUCAAAAAAUAGAGGAUUAUAUUGUAGCUCGAAGGAGGGAAGAAGCUAACACAAGCUACGUCAGGAUAAGUUAAAAGUCGAUAACAUUUAACUAUCAGGCUAGUAAUUAAAUAAUGAACCUGCUUGUGCACGUGUGCAGUAGAAAGAUAAUUGGCAGCAAUUAGCAGAAUUACCAAGAGAGAAGAUUAGAUGUGUGAAGUAAUUAUCAGAGCGGACAAUUAUUGUGCUUAAGGAAAAGUUAUUAUGUAUUAGUAUAAAUAAUCAUACUUUAUAAAUGGAUCCUUCUCGAUAAUCAAUCCAAUAUAUCUUUAUCUUUUAUCUUACCUUUAAUAUACAGUUUAUCCUAUAAAUUGGCGUAAAUUAGUUUUCUACCAUAGCUCAAUGUUACACCCUUAUUGUAGCCCAGGACUACACUCCUACUAUCGCCCAACGCUAUAACUCUUUUUAUUUCUAUCUCCUUUGAAUAGUAGUGUGAUGGUGAUGAAAGUCUUUGAAGGUUAAGGCACAUGAACCCAUGGUACUCUCUAUCCUCCCUAUAACCCAUAUCUUUUCAGCUAGUCCAAUAUCGGUGGCAUGCCCACGCAUGCAUCCAAACCUCGCCUUGGCAAGUUUGGUAGGUCACCUUCUGCCUCGACCAACUAAGCUUUUCAGAGAUCCUGAGUUCUAUGGCUUGCUCGAAACAGGAUGGAAAGUGAGGCAACAAGAUUUCUAGCAUAUCCGGUGGGAAAAAAAGGGCGUCGACAUAUUUUUUGACACACCCGAUGGGAAACUUUGUGGCCAUUAUCAUACUAUAUCUAGUGGAAUGCUGCAUAGUCAUUAUCAUGCUAUUUCUAUUAAGACAACUGUAUAUAUGCCAUCAUGCCACUAUCGGAGGAAGCAACAUUUUUAGCGCUGAUGGAAUGACGGUUUAAAGAGUUAUUUCUAUAUUUGAAAGUCGAUAUGUAAGGCCAUAAUAUAGUAUAGUGAGUCCUAAGUGAAGACAUUCAUUACCAUCCUUGCAAUGGAUGAAUGCAAAUAUCAUCUAGCAUGUGAAUGUACCGCAGUGCACGAGGAAUUGGAGUUAGAGACUUCAGCUCAUCAGGAGGUAAUAGCUGAAGACUAUAGCAUGAAGACCUUGGAAUUUGCUAAGAGUUAUCAUGAAAGUUAUGCCAGCGAAGUUGCGAUAGACCAAACCAUCGAGGGAUAUUUUCAUCAAUACUUAGCUGAAACUUGAGAUUAUUGGUCAUGACAAGGUAGAGAGCAUGCCAACAAUAGUUCUUGUUCGUUUGCCCAUGAGUGAAGGGUAAACAUAGAGUGGCCUCAUAAUAUUAGUCAUGAGCAUCACAAAGAUUGGGGGCAAGCUUAUCAAAUGAAGCUUCCAAAAGUUUUCUAUAUGAUGUGUGUACCAUAUUGAUAGAGGAAAAAAUGGGUCAUCCAGCCCACAACUAAAAGGCCGCCUAGUUUUGGCCCAUUUAACACCAACAAUAAUCAGAUGAAUCUUUACAUUGGCCCCAGGGCCAGCUCGUCCUCGGAACUUCGCCGGAAGCUGCACCAACUCCGGACGUUCGCCGACCAAGUUUGGGGUGCCUCCAGACAAACGCCGACCCAUCCCGACCAAGUUCGGAACGCUAAACCCCCAGCAAUAUACUCCGAUCCUCGAGCUCGGGGCACACCUCCGAGCACACCUCAAAACCCACGAAACCGAGCUGCUUCCAGUAUUCGCCAGGCCGACCUCGUCAAACACA